rnacentral:lncRNA from 1 species
UGAGCGCGAACCGCGUGGUCAAGAGCCUCGUGUCGGGGUGGUCGAUGAGGGCCUGGUCGGACUUGAACAAUCCCUGCCUGACGAUGAGGUCGAAGUAGUACUUGUUGUCGAACACGUCGGGCGUGCGCACGUCGAGGGUCUGAUUGACGGUGCCCUGGGGCACGUCCUUGGCGCACUUGGCCCGCAGCCUCCUGGCGAAUAGCGGGUCGAUGAGCGGGUUGAGGUCGAUGUUGGGAGCGAAGCGGUCGGAGAAGACGGGGCAGUGGGCGACGCCGAAGGUGUGCGCGCCGGAGAGCGAGACGAGGUCGGCCACGUCGAGGCUCCGGUUGCCGAAGGAGGAGAUGAGAGUCGGCACGUCGAAGGAGGGCGCCGGCAGGGUGUCCACGAGGUCCUGGGACGCCGGGGCGAGCCCGUCGCGGCGGCCGAGGGCGACGUCGAAGUGUGGCCCGCCAGCCUGCAUCCACCACGUACGUACUCGUUGAUUAAUCGGUUCUGCUCAGGUUGAAAAUAUCGUCUGACAUAUGUACGCUUGUGUGGAGCAUAUGGCCGGCAGGCAUGAAGUGGAGUGUACCUGUACGAGGGCGUCACGGGUGGCGAGGACGGUGAUGUCGGCGCAGGAGACGGUCGGGCCGCAGGCGGCAUGGACGGCGGCGCGGAUGCGCUCGAUGAGGUCGAGAGCAACGGGGCGGAGCGUCUGGUUGGGCACCGCAUUCAGCUCGCUGUUGUUCCCGGUGAGGAGCACCGACGCGUCGCAGCCCUGCGGGAAGCAGUCGUGGAAGAGGAUGCGGAUGAGGGCGGGGGCGACGCCGACGUCGCGCCGGAAGGUCUCCGCCACGAGGUCCCCCACGAUCUUCUCCAGGCCCGGGCACGACGCGGCGUGGAAGCCCCGGGACAGCCCGCCGGCGUCCGCGGCCGAGAUGGUCGACUGGGCGGCGCAGAUCAAGGCUGCCAGGACGAGGACGGUCGCUGUUGCUCUGGACGCCAUUGCUGUCGCCCUACAGAGAUGUAGCUGAGCUUUUUUGCACGAUGAUGGUCGUGUGGCUUGCUCAAGCUAUGGACACUAAACCCUUGUUAUUUAUACACGGCCAAGUGGCUAACCACCCCACAGCUGGGUAGGUACGUACGUGGCUUAACUCGAUAUUAAUUAUCUACAAGGUGGAAAACAUGUGCAAGUCGGUGCCUGAAAUUUCCCAGAACUUUCCGUAUGCCUUGCGCCCAACAACCCCUUCACUGCGUAUGUGAGUAAUUUACGAUUAGGAUGUGUGACAUCGAUCCAAGUGGGACAUAUACAUAAGGGGUCUGGAAUCAUUUUGAAUGACGCCGAGCUGGCUACGUACGACCUACAGGGAUAGGAUCAGCCUGAGCUUCUUAACCCUCAAAAGAGUUAAGUCAUCAAAAUAUUCUCUUGAUCGAUGCGUGCGUUCCCACACAACCAUCUCAAAGCAUCUCCUGGUCCAAAUUUAACGAUCCAGCCCGUGGGGGGGGGGGGGGGGGCGGCCCGGCCCGUGAAAGUCCUCGGCCCCCCUCCCAGGUCGCACGUAGCCUAUGGGGAUAGCUCUGCAAGGCAGAAGCGCACGUAGAAGUAGACUAAUGUAGAUGCGCAGCCAACGUAGGACGUGACCGAUGGACAAGAUCGUGCACAUCACUACCACGCGAAGAUAAUGGGCCCGACCCAGCGCCAUGGGCAUCAUUACCGUGGUUCAGGAAGACCCAAGGUAAAAAACUAAAUUAACGCACAAUGCUCAGUCUUGUUUUUUAGGUCGUCACGCCCAAACUCCCAUCCCAAUCACGGCAAGGCCAUUGCGUGUUUGCCGCAUGUGUUUGCCUCCGAUGCGGGGGCGACACUACGACAGAUGAGCAUCCAAAUAGGGUAGUCAUCUAGAUCUGGUAGGUCAAUUUGCUCCUUUUGAUUCAAUCUUGUGGGUUUUAUGAAUUUUGGGGUUUCUUGAUUUCGGGGAAAAAAUUAUAGUUACAAUGAGAGGAUUUUUGUUUGGCAUUUCAAAAUUAGUAGCCAUGCUGCUAUUGUUCGGUUAUGAAAAUUGGGAAUAUGGGACGAUGUCUACUGCAACAGGAUUAUGAUUAAUCAUUGAAUCGUGUCAAGUUAUUUAUUAACUCGAUAAUCAAUGUUAUGGUUUUGUAGUGCAGCUGCAAAAGCAUUAUGUCCAAGGCAUGUUGAUAGUUCCUUCCGUAUUGAAGAUUCCAACUUAGAUCUCCGGUAUCAAAGUUUUGAUAGAAAAUGAUGUUUUUGGAUUUGGAGAUGAUAUCAAAUAAUAUUGGAUUUUCUGUCGGUACAAUGGGUUUCUCAUAUACCGUAGCUAAAGUUUGACUGUUUGACUCACUAUACAUGUGUUUUAUCUCCAGGGCUUAGAAGAUGUUUCUAAUGCUUCAUAAAAAACAAAGAUUCUUAUCAAGAAGCACAUGAACACGGAGGCACUACAUGAGUUGAUGAUGAUCAAGGUAUGAUUGUUUUUGUUCUACUAUAAGAAGCACAUGCAUCUUUCAAAUAGCUACAUAUUGAUAACAAAUAAUGGAGAAUAAUGUGAGAUACGUAAAUGUCCCAGAGAGGUUAAAAGUUUUGCAACUUAGUAUAUCAAGAAUAAAUUGUUGAAUAAGAUUGAUAUCAAUACCAUCAUCCCUGAGAUUGCAUCUCGGAAUGUUAGACCCAAAUUUUGAGAUACAUAUAUAAAAAUUAUGUGAUUUUAAAUGCAUUUUAAGCGUUACACGACAACAUUUUUUACGUUUAUGAAUUUAUGUUAAAGGGUCCCGGGUUCUAGUUUCGCCCCGGAUCCCCGAAAUCUCAGGACCGGCCCUGGGUCCAAAUUCAAAUCACUAAAAGGUGCUUUUUAUAAAAAGGCUCAACUUCAACAGAUGAUCUAAAACGAAGAUGUAAAAAAAGAGCAUCUCCAAUAGAUGGUCCAAAACAAAGAUGCAAAACCGACCGACGGCCGCACGACUGCUAUUCAGCCACUUUACAGCCGCGGUUUUGCGUUCAAAUAUCACUUCAAAUUCGAAAUAAAGUGCAUCAUCAUCAUAGUUCAAAUCAUAACAAAAGUGCAUCACCAUCAUUAUAGUUUACAAUCCCUCUACCAAAAGUGCAACGUCCCAAUCAAAGUUUUUUGGCGUACAAAUUAAAAUACACAUGAAUAUCAUUCAUGCGGAACAUCAACACCAUCGACGUUGUGAACUGUGGUACGAUCGUCAUCAUACACAUUUCAUCGAACAUGUUGGAGGCGGUGGCCGUCGGCGUGGCCAAAUCUUCCUCCACGUCCGGCGGUGGCAGCGGUGGAGGUGGGGGAUGUUGGGGAACGUUGCAUGGGAAACAAAAAAAUUCUACGCACACGCAAUACCUGUCCAUGGUGAUGAUCAUCUACUAGAAGGGAGAGUGAAUCUACAUACCCUUAUAGAUCGCUAAGCGGAAGCGUAUAUAUUGCGGUUGAUGUAGUGGAACAUCUUCGCAAUCCAAAUCACAGCCCGUCCCACGAUCUCAUCACGAUUCGUCCCGCGAUCCCAUCACGAUCCUUCCCGAUCUAGUGUCGAACGGACGACACCUCCGCGUUCAGCACACGUACAGCUAGAUGAGGAUGUCCACCUUCUUGAUCGAGCAAGAGGGGACGGAGAGGUAGAUGAGUUCUCCAGCACGACGGCGUGGUGGUGGUGGUGGUACUAUUCCAGCACGGAUUCGCCUAAGCACCAUUGAAACUAGAGGAGAAAUAGAUCUAGAGAGAGAGGGCAACACGUGGCUGUUUUCUAUUUUUUUUCUAAAUCCCUCAAAACCCUUAGUAUAUAUAUAGUAGGAAAGGAGGGAGAGUGUUGCGCCCUAGGGCUGCCCUUUCUUCCCUUGCGCAAGGAGGAGAGGAGGAGUCCUCCUUCAAUCCUAGUAGGAGUAGGCUUCCUCCUUCCCAGUUGGAAACUCUUUCCACCUUGUGUUUUUUCCUUCUCAAACCUUAUGGGCCUUAGUGGAAACUUAUUCCAGCCCACUAGGGGCUGGUUUAUCUCUUCCCAUAUCCCAUGAGGCCCCUUGGGGUGUGACACCCCUGCCGAUGGUCUCCGGCACCCCUCACGGCACUCCCGGUACACUACCGAUCAGCUCGAAACUUUUCCGGUGAUCAAAACAUGACUUCCUAUAUAUCAAUCUUUACCUUCGGACCAUUUCAGAGCUGCUCGUGACGUCCUCGAUCUCAUCCAGGACUCCGAACAACCUUUGGUCACCAACACAUAUAACUCAACUAUACCGAACCUUAAGUGUGCAGACCCUGCGGGUUCGAGAACUAUGCAGACAUGACCUGAGACACUCUCCGGUCAAGAACCAAUAGCGGGACCUGGAUGUACAUAUUGGCUCCCACAUAUUCUACGAAGAUCUCUAUUGGUUGAACCUCUAUGUCAAGGAUUCAGUUAAUCCCGUAUGUUGUUCCCUUUGUCCUUCGGUAUGUUACUUGUUGGGUUACGUAGCAUAAAUUCAAAAUUUUCCUACGCAUAUUCAGAUCUUCCUAUGGAGAGACCAGCAACGAGAGAGGGGUAAGAGCAUCUUCAUACCUUUGAAGAUCGCUAAGCGGAAGGGUUGCUAGAACGCGGUUGAUGGAGUCGUACUCGCAGCGAUUCCGAUCUAGUGCCGAACUACGACACCUCCGCGUUCAACACACGUGCAACCUGGUGACGUCUCCCACACCUUGAUCCAGCAAGGAGGAGGGAGAGGUUGGGGAAGAACUCCAGCAGCACGCGGCGUGGUGUCGAUGGAGAGACGAGGUCUCCCGGCAGGACUUCGCCAAGCACCGGUAGAGAGGAGGAGAAAGAAGAGCAGGGCUGCGCCGAGGGAGAGGGAAAAGUCUAUCUCUCAAUGGCAAAAAGUGCCCGAUAUAUAUAGGGGGAGGGGAGAGGGGGUGCCACCCCUAGGGUUCCCACCCUAGGGGGUGCGGCAGCCCCCCAGAUGGGAGGUGCGGCGGCCAGAGGGGGGAGGAGGGGGUGGCGCACCAUCUGGUGGGCCUUAGGCCCACCUGGCUUAGGGUUUGCCCCCCCCCCUUUUCUCUCCCCUGCGCAUUGGGCUGAGUGGGGAGGCGCACCAGCCCACCUAGGGGUUGGUUCCCACCCCCACUUGGCCCACCUUACCUCCCGGGGUCGUUUCCCCCCUUCGGUGGUCCCGGUGGUCCCGGUGGUCCCACUAUGUUACCGGUGAUGCCCGAAACACUUCCGGUAUCCGAAACCAUCCGUCCUAUAUAUCAAUCUUUACCUCCGGACCAUUCCGGAGCUCCUCGUGACGUCCGGGAUCUCAUCCGGGACUCCGAACAUCUUUCGGUAACCUCGUAUAACAAUUCCCUAUAACCCUAGCAUCAUCGAACCUUAAGUGUGUAGACCCUAUGGGUUCGGGAGACAGGCAGACAUGACCGAGACACCUCUCUGGCCAAUAACCAUCAACGGGGUCUGGAUACCCAUGGUGGCUCCCACUUGCUCCACGAUGAUCUCAUCGGAUGAACCAUGAUGUCAAGGAUUCAAUCAAUCCCGUAUACGAUUCCCUUUGUUUGUCGGUAUAGAACUUGCCCGAGAUUCGAUCGUCGGUAUACCUAUACCUUGUUCAAUCUCGUUAACGGUAAGUCUCUUUACUCGUUUCGUAGCACGUCAUCGUGUGACUAACUCCUUAGUCACAUUGAGCUCAUGAUGAUGUUCUACCGAGUGGGCCCAGAGAUACCUCUCCGUCACACGGAGUGACAAAUCCCGAUCUCGAUUCGUACCAACCCAACAGACACUUUCGGAGGUACCCGUAGUGCACCUUUAUAGUCACCCAGUUACGUUGUGACGUUUGAUACACCCAAAGCACUCCUACGGUAUCCGGGAGUUGCACAAUCUCACGGUCGAAGGAAAAGAUACUUGACAUUAGGAAAGCUUUAGCAUAGGAACAAUGCGAUCUAGUGCUAUGCUUAGGAUUGGGUCUUGUCCAUCACAUCAUUCUCCUAAUGAUGUGAUCCCGUUAUCAAUGACAUCUAAUGCCCAUGAUCAGGAAACCAUGAUCAUCUAUUGACUAACGAGCUAGCCAACUAGAGGCUUGCUAGGGACACAUUGUGAUCUAUUUAUUCACACAUGUAUUACUGUUUCUUGUUAAUACAAUUAUAGCAUGAACAAUAGACGAUUAUCAUGAACAAGGAAAUAUGAUAAUAACCAUUUUAUUAUUGCCUCUAGGGCAUAUUUCCAACAUUACUUGCCCGAGAUUCGAUCGUCGGUAUCUUCAUACCUAGUUCAAUCUCGUCAUCGGCAAGUCUCUUUACUCAUUCCGCAAUAAAAGAUCCCGUAACUAACUCCUUAGUCACAUUGCUUGCAAGGCUUGUUGUGAUGUUGUAUUACUGAGUGGGCCCCGAGAUAUCUCUCCGUCACACGGAGUGACAAGUCCCAGUUUUGAUCCAUGCCAACCUAACAGACACCUGGAGAUACCUGUAGAGCACCUUUAUAGUCACCCAGUUACGUUGCGACGUUUGAUAGCCCACAAGGUAUUCCUCUGGUGUCCGGGAGUUGCAUGAUCUCAUGGUCAUAGGAACCGAUACAUUGACAUGGGGAAAACAGUAACAAUAAACUGACACGAUCAUUUGCUACGUUCAUAAUUUUGGGUCUUGUCCAUCACAUCAUUCUCCCAAUGAUGUGAUCCCGUUAUCAAGUGACAACACUUGUCUAUGGUCAGGAAACCUUGACCAUCUUUGAUCAAUGAGCUAGUCAACUAGAGGCUCACUAGGGACAGUGUGUUGUCUAUGUAUCCACACAUGUAUUUGAGUUUCCAAUCAAUACAAUUCCAGCAUGGAUAAUAAACGAUUAUCAUGAAUAAAGAAAUAUAAUAAUAACCAAUUUAUUAUUGCCUCUAGGUCAUAUUUCCAACAGAGGAAAGGCUCCUUGGCUGGUAGAGGACGUGGCCGGCCCUAGCUGCGAGUCAUCGGCCCGAGCCCGCCGGCUGCCUUUGAGUUUUUGCCCAGCCGUGAUUAGCCAACCGUUUUCAUGCCUUCGGCGCCUUCGCAGGAACCGUCGGUGCAGGGGCAACCGGCCGGGGCGGCGGACGGGUACGGUGACAUGGACGAGGCGGCAGAGGGCGAGUUCGCCGCAACCGUGGCGGCCGACGGGCGGGUCGUGGGCUGGCGGUCGCGAUGCGGGAGGUGAAUGAACUAGCGGUUAGGCGUUGGCGUGGGGACGCGGUUUUUACAUCACUUGUAUCUUGUGAUGUAAAUUUGCAUCAUGCAGUUUUCAUUUUUACAUCACCGGGAGGCCGCAAUUGAUUUUUUUACAUAUGGACCGUUUGUUGGAGCAUUGUUUUUUUCCCAAGACGAUCCAAAAUUUAGGUAUUUUUACAUUUGUAUCAUCUAUUGGAGAUGCUCUUACAAAGGGUUAACUCAACAAAAUAUUCUCUUUUGAGGGGUUAACCGCACCUAGCUGGACGCCUGGACUCCUAUCCGGCUAACUCCUUAAGUAUUUGAGGAGUUAAGCGUGAAAAACUUCUCAAGGCUCUCAUUUUUGAGUGGGCGAGACAAGUUAUCGGCAAAACACCCCCGCUUCCCAACUCCUUCUCGCGACGCAUCCGCUAAUCAGUGUCACAGUCAGAGCCAUCGGAUACCCCCAUUUCGACGGGAAUGACAUGGGAGGGCGCUUCCAUGUCAAGGAAGCACUCGGGACAAAUAGCGUGGUGAGAACCAUCGCACCGUCGAAAAAGGCAAGCCGUAAGGGUAUGCUUUCACGAAGACGAGAGGUUCCCCUCCAUUUGCUCCGGCUGGUGGCAAGCGAGUGAGGAAGCCACCAGUGGCCGACAAGACGCUUAACAAAGUGCCGGCAAAGAAAAGGAAGAAGAUGUGCACGUCGACGCCUUCUCUGUCAUAGCCCUUCUCCAGCAUCCCCUAUCACCUCCUCCUUUAGCGCGUUUGCCCGCGGCGGAGGUCUGCCAACUACUCGACAAAAUGUCAAAAUGCAUGUGGGGUAAUUUGUUUUUCUGCUGUGGAUAUUGGUAGUAAUGUUUUGCAGCGGAUAUCUUGGGACGUGCUUGUGGUUGUUUAUUUUAGUGUGGAGGAGCAGUUGCAAAUUUCAUGUCUCAAUUGGAUUCAUCACACAUAAUCAGCCUUGACGAUCUAGAUUACGAUGGUCCAAGGUAUGCUCAAGAAACAAGAGAGGGAGGAGGAUGAUCAAAAAGUGAAAGAGGUCAAUGAUCCCGUGGAGCCACAAUAAAGCAUUAUGAAGACGAUAUAGAGGGCAGUAGGGCGUUCAGUGGCACCAUACUAGUUGAGUCUCAUCCAAUUUCGUAUUCUAACCCUUCUUUUGACAUGAUUAACAUUUAUGAACAAUACGCGUGUGAGAUUCUUUCCUCUAAAUGGACAUACAAAGAACGUUGCAAUAAUAAUUUGCACUAAAAGAUACUAUAAAAUCAGGAACUGAAGAUGACAGAUUCCAACAAAAGUGUACCCCUUCUUGAAUAUAUAUAGUAACACUAUUCAUCAUCGAGGGUGUAGAAUGAGUUAUUCUUCAUCCGAAGUAAUCUUACGGUUGUUUCAUAAAUAAUUUUUUUUUUACAAAUAGUUAUAUGCAUAUUGUUUCAUUAUAUAAAAUUUGGCAUAAGAAAACAAUUAUAUAUGUCAGAAGACCAGAAAAAAUGCAUUUUAUGUGUAUUUUACACUAUAUUUUUACGUUUGUAACUUUAAAUAGCGUAAAAUAUUUUUAUGACGAUUUAAUAUUUUCUUUAGUUCCUUUUUUGGUAAAAAGUAAGAAAAAAAAGUACGAACAGUAAAAAUACGGUGCAUUGAUGGUAAAAUAGAGGGGACGAAGAAUAACUAUUCCUCACCUAGGAUGACGAAUAGCGCGACUAUUCGUCACAUCAAUGCACCAUAAUUUUAUGUUCUGUUUUUUCUUCAUACGUAAAAAGAGACCGUAACAAGAUAUAUAGUCAUUAUAAAAAAUAUUUUAUGUCACCUAAAAUUACAAACAUAAAAACAUAGUGUAAAAUAUACAUGAAAUGUGAUUUUUUGAUCUUAUGACCUCUAUUUUUAAUUUUUUACAUCAAAUUUUACGUAAUGGAUCAACAUUAAUGAAACUAUUGGUAUUACAAAUGUAAUAUAUGUAUGAAACGGUCGUAAGAUUACCUGGGUGAGGAAUAACUUAUUUUGCACCCUCGGUGAAUCAUUAUUCAGGAUGCAGAAUAGUUUAUUCUUCAUCCGAGAUAUUUGUACGAUCAAUUUACUAAUAAAUUAAGUUUCAAAUACAAAUAAUUAAAUUUAUAUUGAAUCACUAUGUAAAAUUUGACAAAAUCAAAACAAAAGUAUAGGUCACAAGACUAGAAAAAUUUGAAUUUAUUGUAUUUUUUGCACUAUUUUUGUAUGUUCGUAAUUUUACGUGACAUAAAAUAUUUUUACGUUGAUUAUAUUUUUUUUACUGUCUCUUUUUAUGUAUAAAAUAAGACAAAAUUUACGGAACGUAAAAUUACGGUGCAUUGAUGUUAAAAUUAUGGUGAAUUGAUGUUAAAAUUAUAUAUAUACUAGAUUCAUGCAUGUCAGUAAAAUUUAGCGGCACCGUUCUCGUCGUCACCUAUAUUGUUAAGUGGACUAGUUGGACCAUCGCAAUGACGUGUUGGGUCACCCUUGACACGUGUCAGUGGCAUCUCGAACAUGUUGAGAUAUUCGCCUGCUGUCAGUCGGUGGCCACCACCACUCGAGAACAUUUGUGGCGGGUGUCGAGGGCUUAAGUGAUGUGGUCGUGUGGCAAUAGUUUUUUUUAUAGUGAAGUGAGGCGAUCACACACAGGAAAGAGUGGGGUGCAUGUGGGGGAGAAGACGAUAUGGCAACUAUUGAGUUUAGUCCAUAUUGAUUGUGGGAGCAGGCAUAACAGAAUUUAUAAGGGUGUGGGUGUCCCCUCCUAUCACGCAAGCUUUCUUUUUAAACGAAGGGUCCAAGCCCUGAAUUAAGUCUGUGUUCCUCUCUGGUUGGGCCUGGUUACCGCGCUGAGACGCUCGUGGAGGAUGUGGGUCAUGGUAGUUUGGUGGUUCAGAGGAAGAGGAUGAACAAUAAUGAUUUUUGAGGUUGAAGAAGAUGAUCUGGCCAUCCGUAUUGAAUCCAACGGCUCACAACGAUUCGACUGGCCCAAAUUCGAUUUUCGGUCACGUGACAUCUAUCGAUUCCCAUCAUUUUGCACUAAGUGAUGGACUAUGAUUUGCUCAACCAGUCCACUAAACCCAUGCAAUUUAUACACGGCUAGUUACUUUCAAGCCGGCUUAGGUAGCUAGACAUAUUUUUUCUUGUAAUAAAGGAAUACAUUAAUGUCACUACAAGAAAUAUGCCAACUUGUGACAUUCUCUUGGAGACCGUGAAUGAAUUGGUCGUAAGUCUACGACCAUUUUGAUCGAAUUGGUCAUAAGCUAUUUUAGAGGGUUCAAACCCUCAACCAUAACGACCAUUUUUAGGGGAAAGGUCGCAAUUGCCUGGCAUGAAAUGGUCGUAAAGCAGACAACUAGGAUUGACAACCUUAUUUUUAGCAGAAGACGACCAAUCUAGAUGGCCAUAACCAUGUAAAUUGCGGUGUGUUGCUAUGACCGGGCGCCACCUCAUCAAUUUCGCUUGUGUGUCAUGUAUAUGUGUCAUGUUUAUGUGUUAAUUUACGCUUACUUGUCUAGAUCAAAUAUACCAAUGAUGGGUGGAACCCAUGCAUUGACUGGUUAACCUACACCUCAGACCCACCACCACCUUACACGCUGGACCCAGUACAUCUCGGACCCAACACCAACAUACACGUCGGACCCACCCUAUCAUGGGUCCCACCAACCUGACAUGAAAGACCCACCAUUGAACUGACUUGUUGCCCCACCACGGAUGUGACAUGGAGGCUAAACCGGAGAUAGUAGAAAAAUAGGAAAGAAAUAUGCGUUGAUGGGAUUCGAACCCGUGACGCCCUAAGAGCAAGUUCAGGAGUUCCCCCAUACCUUCCCUGGUCAUUUUUUUAAGGGAGAAAGGCAAAAAAACUGCCUCCAACAGUGCCCCGAUCUACUCCGGAUAUUUUGGCCUCCCCGAAAACGUUUCCUCUCUCCCCUCUAUCUAGGGGAACGAGGACCUCCCCGAUCCCCUCCCCGACAUGCCGAGCGAAGCAACUGCCGGCUCCGAAAAGCUCCCUCCCGCCACCACCCCGCCGCCACCACCGCAUUGCAGGUUCGUUCCCUCCUUUGUUUUCUCUCAGAUCUCGGCAAAAAAUAAUAAUCUAGGCUAGGGAGUAAUGGUGAUGUUGGAGAGUGAUGCAGGGGUGCGCAGUCGCCGUGUGAGGAUGGGGAGGCGCUGGAAGGGAGGAGCUGGGCGUUGUUGCUAGAGAUUUGGGCGCUGCUGCUUGCUAGAGUUUUUGCUACCGCUUUGCUAGAGAGAACAGAGAGAGAGAGAGCAGAGAUAUGAGAGAUUGGGAGAUGCACUGUUUGCUGAACAUUAAUUCAGAUAUACAAUGCUUCUUUUUAUAUAUAGAUCAGAGAGAUAACUUGUUGAUUGCUAUAGAUCAGUGAGCUAUUGUACUGCUGAUUGCUGCACAUUUAGAUAUAGAUCACAGAGAUUGCUUGCUACUGAUUUCGGUUGCUAUUGCUAGUAAUUUGCUAGUGAUUGCUGCUGCUAUUUGCUUUCAUUUGUAUUUGCUACUGAUUGCUCCAAGUUAUUUGCUACUCGGAGAUAAAUUUACAUAUCAAUUUGCGAUUGCUUGCUGCAAGUUAUUUCCUACUAGGAGAUGACAUUUAAAUAGCUAUUUGUGACUGCUUGCUGCUAGUUAUUUUCUACUGGUUGUUGAACAUCUAUAUGAUGUAUGGUUUGUUUGUUUUGUUUCAUAUUUUCAUAAUGGACGGUCAGAGUUAUUUGAUCUUUUGCAAAGUGAUGUCGGCUUGAAUGAUUUGCACUGGACUGAAGAAGAACAAAUCGACCUCGAAAAGAAUGAAGAAAAACAAAUUGAUCUUGAAGGGCCUAAAUAAACUAGUCGUUGGUAGUUAUGAAAUAUUCUUAAAAUAUAGAAUAAGGGAGAUGUUUAGGGGAACUAGUGGAGUUGAGCAAUCUUUAGGGGAGAAUCUUUGUAAGUUAGUCCCCUGUUUUGAGAUAUAGGGGAGAAAUUUUUGGGAAACUGUUGGACUUCCCCUAAGAAAACACGGUGGUUUCUUACCACCACGCCACCACCCAAGUAACGAUACGAAACUCCACUCGCUACUUUUAUACGAAACAGUCGCUUCCUGGGCUUGGGCCUAAAUCAUGAGAGAUCUCCCCUUCGCUCCUUCUUUUUCCCCUUUAGCAUUAUGGUCCAUCGAGUGGCACUAUAACAAAUGUGAUAAUCUAUGAUGCACAUUCUGUGACGAUUCAAUGUAAAAACGUGAGGGAAUCAUCUAAAUUUCAAAAAAUAUGACGUUUUUUCACAGAAUCGUCACAAAAUGAGCGUCUUAGAUUAUCGCAUUUGUUGUAGUGUGGGCCAACGGCCCAUGGCCUAUUAGAAGAUCUUUUCUCGUGGGAAAUGUGUGUUUUUUUGUUUUUUUUCUUCUUUACAAUAUUUCGUGAUUUCAGAAAAUCUCCACACAUUUAAAAAAUUUAUUUUGGAAAAAUGCUCGUGAAAUCAUGAAAUGUUCGUCCAUUAAAUAUGUUCAUGAUUUUUGAAAAAUUUGCGUAUUGAAAUAAUGUUCACGGAUUUGACAAACAAAUGGGAAUUCAAAAAAUCAUCACAAUUUUUUCAUAAAAUGUUCAUUGACGUGAAGGUUUAGAUUUUUUUUAUUUUCUUAUUUUAUACCGAUUUUAAAACCAGGUCACAUAUAAUGAUAGAAUACAAAGGCUUUCCAUAUUUUUUGACACAAUGCAAAUGUUCCUUUUUUACAUGGAACCAUUUGGAAAUUUGUACAUGAAAUGUGGUCUAAUAAUUUCGAAAAUGUUCCGGUAUAGUUUUACAACAAAUAUUUGGUAGUUUCUUCACAAAAAGAACUCAUUUUGUGCACUUAAAAAAUCAAAAUUCCCUUUGGCAACAUUGUUUGCCAUUGCAAGAUGCACCCUUGAAACACAUAAAACUUCACACAACAUAGUUCAUUUCUGAGAAGACUUUUAAAAGGUAUUUAUCGUAGUCCAAAUUUUUUAUUUCUCCUCAAAACAAGAUCACAUAUGAUGACACAAUGCGAAGGUUUCCAAUUAUUUUAACUCUUUUUUCUAAUUUCUUAUGUCCGUUUUAAAAUGCGGUCAAAACGACGGGCAUGAUCGUUCGUAGCUAGGGGUUGAAUCUUGGAAAAACUUUUGGUGUCUUUGAUAAAACCUAUAGUUAUGUACCUAUAGUUCAAAGUUGACCCACUUCUUGCAGAAUCGACCGAAAUUUGUAGUUCAAACUUGACCCGCUUCUUGCUGAAUCUAUCGAAAUUUGUCUUUUUCAUGAGAAGUGACUAAAAAAACUCACUUUAGUCACUCGAAUAAUGCAAAAUGAAUUUACCGUCCAAAGAAAAUGAAAACUUUCUUAGGCAACAUUGUUUGCCAUUCCAAAAUGCACGAUAUUAGAUCAUUUGAAUAAACUAUACAUGAAUGUGGCCAUAAGAUUGAUCAUUUGACUUCAAAGCCAUGAAUCUUCAUACAUGAUAACUCAUUUUUUAGAACACAUUUAAAAAAUAUUUACCUUAUUAUAAUUUUAUUAUUUUUCCUAAUAACUUGGUCACGUAUAAUUAGACAAUGCGAAGGUUUUUCAAUUUUUUGAUUUGUUUUUGAAUUUUUCAAGCCCAUUUCAAAAUGUAGUCAAAACGUCGGGCACGAUCGUUCCUAUCUAGUGGUUGAAUCUUGAAAAACUUCUAAUGUUUCUAUGGUUAAAUAGAUACUUGUUUACCUAGAAAUGAUUUUUGGAAAAAAUAAAGAACAAACUAUGACUCAGCCGCCGUUCAAACUUGACCCGCUUUUUACUAAAUUGGCCGAAAUUUAUCCUUUUCACAAGAUGUGGCUUAAAACUUUUGACACUCAACCAUUUGGUCAAUUGUACAUUAAAAAUGUCCUAAUAUUUUAAAAAAUUGAUUUGGUCCAAAAUUGCCACAAUUAUAUGCUAGACCCUUCAUAAAAAACUCAUUUUAGUCACUUGAAAAAUGGAAAAUAAACUGUUCGUUCAAAAAAAAUAGAAAACUUCGUUACACAACAUUGUUUGCCAUUACAAAAUGCACCAUUUUGCACAAUAUUAGAUCAUUUGAACAAGUUAUGCCAUGAAUGUGGCCGUAAGAUUGAUCAUUUGGUUUGAAAGCCUUGAAUCUUCACAAAUGGUAACUCAUUUCCGAGAAUACUUUUUUUAAAAUAAUUUUCGUAUUAUAAUUUUAUUGUUUUUCCUCGUAACUUGGUCACAUUUAAUGACACAAUGGGAAGGUUUUCCAAUUUUUUUAUUUUUUUUAAAUUUUCAUGCCCGUUUCAAAAUGCAGUCAAAACAACGGGCAUGACCGUUCCUAUCUAGUGGUUGAAUCUUGGAAAAGUUUUGAUGUUUCUCUCAUUAAAUAUAUACUUAUGUAUCUAGAAAUGAUUUUUGAAAAAAAUAAAGAGCAAACUACGAGGCAACUGCAGUUCGAAUUUGUCGCGCUUCCAACUAAAUCAGCGGAAAUUUGUCUUUUUCACGAGAGUUGAUCAAAAGUUUUGACACUCAACCAUUUGGUCAAUUGUACAUUAAAUAUGGCCUAAGAUUUUAUUAAAUUGAUUUAGUCCAAAUUUGCAACAAAUAUUUGUUAGGUUCUCCAGAAAAGAACUUCAUUUUGGGCACUUGAAAAAUGGACGAGAGGUGGACGAAAAACUUUUAAGAAGGAAGUAUUUGGUCAAUUUGUACAUAAAACACGGUCGAAUAUUUUUUAAAAUUGUUGCGGUCCAAUUUUUUAACUAAUAUUUGAUAGGUUAUUCACAUAGGUGAAAACAAAAAAGAGAAAGACAAAGAAAGAAAACACAUUUACAUAAGCUUAAUUCUCGUUGGUGGAGAUGUUUGUGCCAUGGAUUGAUGACAUGGCACACAUCCAUCCAUAUAUCCAUCCACCCGCAGCCCAAACCCUAACUCCAAUACUCCCAUCGGUCCCCUCCCCCUCUCCCCCGAUUCAGAUCCAGUCCUCGCUGCCGCCACCUACCUCAAGCCGAUCCUGUCGUCCAUGCCCGCGCGCCAUCACCCGCUCCGCGACCACCACCCGCUCCUCCUUGCCUCCCGGAGGACGCAGACCCCACGUCGCUCUUCCUCCGCCCGCCAACCCACCCCGUCCUGGAGGCCUCACUAGCUUCCUUCCGUCGCAGGGUCACCGCGCUCAUCGCGCCCUCGGUACGCACCUCCACCGCCAUCUUUGCUGGCUCCUCGCCUCCGCCUCCGCCCCCGCUAAUUCCCCGCCCAGCGGCUACCCGGUGGCGCUCCACCUCCUUCGUGCGCCACUCGAUGAGCUCGAGGCCCUGUGGCUAUGCCAUGUUUGGGACAGGUGCCCGUUCCAGUACGUGGUCGGGAACGAGCACUGGAAGGACCUGGUGGUCGCCAUUCGGGACAGUGUACUCAUCGCACGGCCGAAGGCGGAGGCCGUCGUGGACAUGGUCACCACCAUCGAUUGCGAGCUGGAGUCCUGGGCCUUCCCCUCAUCAUCCUCGGCGGCGACAUGUGGAUGAGCCACCGGACGAUAAGCAGCAGAUCAUGUUUGCGCUGACCUCCAUCAAGGGUGUGGGCCGCCACUUCUCCAACAUCAUCUGCAAGAAUGCCGAGAUCGACAUGAACAAGAGGUGAGGAACCGUCCCCCUUUCUCGCCAGAUCUCGUCGUGGUGGGUGGGGGAUGAGUCGUGCACUGUCUUCUGUGUGGUGUGCGGGGCUGAAAAGCUUUCCGCUAAGGAGAUGGUUGUAUGAUGGCGGUGGUGCACAAUUCACGUCAGUUCAAGGUGUUGGACUGGUUCCUGAACAGGAAGAAGGACUAAAAGAAUGGGAGUUUCUCCCAGUUCAUCUCCAAAGCCACCGAAUUGAAGCUCAGGGAUGACCUUGAGAGGCUCAAGAAGAUAACGUAUAAACUCGUCCCCCCUUGUUUGUUUUUGCUUCAUACUGUUGGCUGAUUGAUCGGUGAUUAGGUGCUAGGUUCAACUUGUUAUGAUCCUGUUAACUAACAUCUUGCACAUGCUUUAGUGGUAGAAGUAGUUGAUAUCUCAUCCAAUACUUUACAACCUAGUCUUGGGAUUCACAUAGUGGGUUUCUGGAAGGAGAUCUCCAAACAUUAGAAUGCCUGAAAUGCGUUUAUUCUGUUGUUCUUGAUGGGCGUAGUGUUGUUCUGGUAGGAUGUACUAACUUCAUGUGCUUUAUUCUAUACUCGUUUAUACACACAACAAUGUGGCUAGAGUUUGAUUUUCAGUCGGUAUAGUCUGCUUAUGUGAUACGUCUCCAACGUAUGCAUAAUUUUUGAUGGUUCCAUGCUAUUAUCUUGUCAUCUUUGGAUGUUUUGUAUGCAUGAAUAUGCUAUUUUAUAUCUUUUUUGGGACUAACCUAUUAACUUAGUGCCAAGUGCCAGUUCUUGUGUUUUCUGUGUUUUGACCUUUUUGAGAGGAGAAUAUUGAACGGAGUCCAAAUGGAAUAAAACCUGCGGAAUGAUUUUUUCCAUAAUAGAAGACAUGCAGGAGACUUGAGAACAAAGGAAUGGGAGCUCGGAGGAUGUCACAAGCCACCCAGGCCCGACCUAGGGGGGGCCUAGCAGGCUUGUGGGCCCCCUGUGGCUCCCCUGCCCUAGUUCUUCCGCCUAUAGAUUCCUUAAAAAUCUGAAACCACGGAAGAGAGCCACGAAAAUACUUUUCCGCCGCCGCAAUCUUCUGUCUUCGCAAGAUCCCAUCCGGGGCACGUUCUGGUGCCCUGUAGGAGGGGGGAUUCGAACACGGAGGGCUUCUUCAUCAACACCAUUGCCUCUCCGAUGAUGCGUGAGUAGUUCACCACAGACCUUUGGGUCCAUAGCUAGUAGCUAGAUGGCUUCUUCUCUCUCUUGGAUCUUCAAUACAAAGUUCUCCAUGAUCUUCAUGGAGAUCUAUCCGAUGUAAUCUUAUUUUGCGGUGUGUUUGUCGAGAUCCGAUGAAUUGUGGAUUUAUGAUCAGAUUAUCUAUGAAUGUUAUUUGAGUCUCCUCUGAUCUCUUAUAUGCAUGAUUUUGUAUCCUUGUAAUUCUCUUCGAGUUGUGGGUUUAGUUUGGCCAACUUGAUCUAUAGUUCCUGCAAUGGGAGAACUGCUUGGUUUUGGGUUCAUACCGUGCGGUGAUCUCACCCAGUGACAGAAGGGGUAGCGAGGCACAUAUCGUGUUGUUGCCAUCAAGGGUAAAAUAUGGGGUUUAUAUCUAUUGCAUGAAUUUAUCCCUCUACAUCAUGUCAUCUUGCUUAAGGCGUUACUCCGUUUGUCAUGAACUUAAUACACUAGAUGCAUGCUGGAUAGUGGUUGAUGUGUGGAGUAAUAAUAGUAGAUGCAGAAAGUAUCGGUCUACUUGUCUCGGACAUGAUGCCUAUAUGUAUGAUCAUUGCCUUAGAUAUCAUCAUGACUUUGCGCGGUUCUAUCAAUUGCUCGAUAGUAAUUCGUUCACCCACCGUAAUACUUGCUAUCAUGAGAGAAGCCUCUAGUGAACACUAUGGCCCCCGGGUCUACUUCACAUCAUAUUUUCAGCUUUACACUUUUAGUUUGUUGCACUUUCCACCUUCAGAUCUCACCUUCUAGUUAACCGUGAAGGGAUUGACAACCCCUUUGUAGCGUUGGGUGCAAGUUUGCUUGUUUUUGCGCAGGUACUUUGGAGACUUGCCUUGAUAGUCCUACUGGAUUGAUACCUUGGUUCUCAAACUGAGGGAAAUACUUACUGCUACUGCGCUGCAUAACCCUUUACUCUUCAAGGGAAAAACCAACGCAAGAUCAAGAGGUAGCAUUAUGUUACUCUUUGGUUGGAGGCAAUUAGAAUGUUGUAGGUUUAGUAUGAACGUGUCUUAAUCCAUUGGAUGCCCUUGGCUAGUUUAGUUGGUAUCUAAUCUAAAAUAAUUUAUUUUCCCAUUUUUUGUUUCCUUGCUAGACAUGUCAUGGUACAAGUGCCGGUGCCGAUGUUUACUACCCCCGCCGUAAAGAAAUAUAAGAGCGUUUAGAUCACUACUUUAGUGAUCUAAAUUCUCUUAUAUUUCUUUACACAGGGAGUACAUGGUAUUAUUGUUAGCUAUAUAUAUACCUCAUACGUCUCCAUCGUAUCUUCUUUUCCAAACUCUUUUGCCCUUGUUUUGGACUCUAAUUAGCAUGAUUUGAGUGGAUCUAACCCGGACUAACGAUGUUUUCACCACAACUGCCAUGGUGUUGUUUUUGUGUAAAAAUAAAAGUUCUCGCAAUGACCGGGAAACUUAUGAGGAUUUUUUGUGGAAUAUAUAAAAAAUAUUGGCGGAAGAAUUACCUGAAGACAUGGAGCCAGGGGCCCACAAGCCCAGGAGGUGCACCCCCCUAGGGCGGGCCUGGCAGGCUUGUGGGGCCCACGUAGCUCCGCAGCCUCCAACUCCAACUCUAUAAAGUCUCUCUUGCCUAGGAAAAAUUAAGAGAGAAGAGUUCAUCGCGUUUCACGACACGGGGCCGCCGCCACCACCUGUUCUUCCUCGGGAGGGCAGAUCUGGAGUCCGAUCUGGGCUCCGGAGAGGGGAAAUCGACGUCGUCGUCAUCGCCAACCAUCCUUCAUCGCCAAUUCCAUGACGCUCUUCACCGUUCGUGAGUAAUCUCAUCAUAGGCUUGCUGGAUGGUGAUGGGUUGGAUGAGAUCUAUCAUGUAAUCGAGUUAGUUUUGAUGGGGUUUGAUCCCUAGUAUCCACUAUGUUCUAAGAUUGAUGUUGCUACUACUUUGCUAUGCUUAAUGCUUGUCACUAGGGCCCGAGUGCCAUGAUUUCAGAUCUGAACCUAUUAUGUUUUCAUCAAUAUAUGUGUGUUCUUGAUCCUAUAUUGCAAGUUGUAGUCACCUACUAUGUGUUAUGACCCGACAACCCCGGAGCGACAAUAGCCGGAACCACUUCCGGAGAUGGCCAUAGUAUGAGGAGUUCAUGUAUUCACUAUGUGCUAAUGCUUUGUUCCGGUUCUCUAUUAAAAGGAGACCUUAAUAUCCCUUAGUUUCCGUUAGUACACCGCUGCCACGGGAGGGAUGGACAAAAGAUGUCAUGCAAGUUCUUUUCCAUAAGCACGUAUGACUAAAUACAGAAUACAUGCCUACAUUACAUUGAUGAACUGGAGCUAGUUACAUAUCACCCUAUGUUAUAACUAUUACAUGAUGAAUGUCAUCCGACAUAAUUAUCCAUCACCGAUCCAAUACCUACGAGCUUUUCCUAUACCGGUCCAUGCUAAAUUACUUUACCGCUACUGCUGUCACUACGGCUGCUGUUACUGCUGCUACCGUUACUAUCACACUACUUUUCUACUAAAACUUUGCUGCAGAUACUAAGUCUUGCAGGUCUGGUUGAAUUGACAACUCAACUGCUAAUACUCAAGAAUAUUCUUUGGCUUCCCUUGUGUCUAAUCAAUAAAUUUGGGUUGAAUACUGUACCCUCGAAAAUUGUUGCGAUCCCCUAUACUUGUGGGUUAUCAAGACCUUUUUGUGGCACCGUCGCCGGGGAGCAUAGCUCUAUUCUCUGAGUCACUUGGGAUUUACGUCUGUUGAUCACUAUGAGGAAUCCGAGAGAUCCAAAAACUAAAGUCUUGCCCUCAACUACGAGGACAGGUAAGGAACUGCCAUCUAGCUCUGCACUUGAUUCACCUUCAGUUAUGAGUAAAUUUGCGACACCACCAACUAUUGGUAAUUCUGAUAUGUCGCAUGUGCUUGAUGAUGCUGCUUCUGCUAUCCAUGAUUCUUAUGAUGAUGCUUUGCUUGAUAAUGAGAUGACACUAGGUGCAUUUCUUGAUGCACAAAUUGCUAGAGUUACUGAUGAAUGUGAUGAUACUUCUGAAACUGAUGAAAUUAUUGAAGUGGAACCUGCUGUUACACCUGUUAGACCUAGCUCUCCCAGAUAUGAAUUGCCUGAUAUACCUAAGGGUUAUGUUAUGGAGGGAGAGGUAGCUGAAGGCUUUCUUGCUUGUAAGGAUAGCUAUGAUCUUGAGAAUUUAUUACGUAAGUGGAAAGAAAAAUCUCUGAAUGCUUGAAUGAAAUAUGAUCCUAAGUUUGCUACUUCGCCCAUCUUUGUUACUGAUAAGGAUUAUGAAUUCUCUGUUAAUCACUUUGGUUGAAUCUGAUCCUUUUCAUGGUUAUGAGUCUGAAACGGUUGUAGCACAUCUUAGCAAACUGAAUGAUAUAGCCACCCUAUUCACGAAUGAGGAAAAAAAGUUCUCCAUUACUAUAUCCUUAAGUUGUUUCCUUUCUCACUAAAGGGUGAUGCUAAAACUUGGUUUACUUCUCUUUCUCCUGGUUGUGUGCGUAGUCCCCAGGAUAUGAUAUACUACUUCUCUGAGAAAUAUUUUCCUGCCCAUAAGAAACAAGCUGCCUUAAAGGAUAUAUAUAACUUUGUGCAAGUUGAAGAAGAGAGUCUCCCACAAGCUUGGGGGGGGGGGCUUGUCCAGUUACUGAAUGCUUUGCCUGAUCACCCUCUUGAGAAAAAUGAAAUACUUGAUAUCUUUUAUAAUGGACUAACCGAUGCUUCUAGGGAUCACCUAGAUAGUUGUGUUGGUUGUGUUUUCAGGGAAAGAACUAUGGAACAAGCUGAAAUUCUAUUGAAUAAUAGCUUGAGCAAUGAUAAUGCUUGGACUAUUCCCGAACCACCUCCGAAGCCAAGAGGUAUUCUAUUCCUCAGUCCUGAAGAUAUGCAAGAAGCCAAGAAAUCUAUGCAAGAGAAAGGUAUUAAAUCUGAAGAUGUUAAGAAACUACCACCUAUUGAAGAAAUACAUGGUCUUGAUAACCCGACACAGGUAGUAGAGGUAAAUUCUCUUCGUAGAUUCAAUGAGAGUGAUAUUCCAUAUGAUAAACCUGCUAGCUUAUGCUUAGAUGAAUUUGAUAACUUUGUUGUCAAACAACAAAGUUUUAAUGAUUAUGUUAGCAGACAAUUGAAACAAAAUGCUCGUAUGAUUAAUCAUAUAAGUGCUUGUGUGGAUAGAAAUGUCAAUGAUCUUAAGCUUUUGGGAAAACAUGCUUCUAUGGUCACUACUCAAGUAGAACAAGUACUUAAGGCUCAAAAUGACUUGCUUAAUGAGUUGAAUGACAAUUCUGUUAGAGUUGUCACUAGAGGUUGUAGAAUGACUCAGGAACCUUUGUAGCCUGAGGGCCAUCCUAAGAGAAUUGAACAAGAUUCUCAAGGAGUUAACACUCAUGCACCUAGUCAUCCUGGUAACAGGAAGAAAAUAAAGAUGAUAGGAACUUGCAUGCUAGCAAACCUGUUGCCGUUACACCCGAGAAUCCAAAUGAUGUCUCUAUUUGUGAUGCCGAAACACAAUCUGGUGAUGAACAUGAGCCUAGUGAUAAUAUUGAUAAUGGUGUUCAUGUUGAUACUCAACCUAGUAAUGAUAAGGAUGUGGAGAUUGAACCUGUUGUUGAUCUUGAUAACCCACAACCUAAGAACAAGCUAUAUGAUAAGAACGACUUUAUUGCUAGGAAGCAUGGUAAAGAAAGAGAACCAUGGGUUCAGAAACCCAUGCCCUUUCCUCCCAAACCAUCCAAGAAAAAGGAUGAUGAGGAUUUUGAGUGCUUUUUUGAAAUGAUUAGACCUGUCUUUUUGCAAAUGUGUUUGGCUGAUAUGCUUAAAAUGUCUCCUUAUGCUAAGUACAUGAAAGAUAUCGUGACUAAUAAAAGGAAGAUACCUGAGGUUGAGAUUUCCACCAUGCUUGCUAAUUACACCUUCAAGGGUGGGACUCCUAAGAAACUAGGUGAUCCCGGAGUGCCCACUAUACCUUGCUCCAAUAAAGGAAAUUAUGUUAGAACUGCUUUAUGCGACCUUGGAGCCGGUGUUAGUGUUAUGCCUCUCUCUUUAUAUCGCAGACUUGAAUUGGAUAAGUUGACACCUACUGAAAUGUCUUUGCAAAUGGACGACAAAUCAACUGGUUUUCCUAUCGGCAUUUGCGAGGAUGUGCUUGUUGUGGUUGCGAACGUUACUAUCUUAACGGACUGUGUUAUUCUGGAUAUUCCCGAGGAUGAUGCCAUGUCGGUCAUCCUUGGAAGAUCCUUUCUAAACACUGCAGGGGCUGUUAUUAAUUGCAACAAAGGCAAUGUCACUUUCCAUGUUAAUGGUAAUGAGCACAUGGUGCACUUUCCGAAGAAACAAUAUCGAGUUCAUUUCAUCAAUGCUAUUGAAAAAUCUUCAUCCAUUAUUAUUGGAGGCUUUGAUUGCCCUAUACCUACUAUCAAGAUGAAAUAUGAUUUACUUGUUGGGGAUAUGCACAUCCCCGUUGAGGUAACCUAGUGAUUAUUCGAAAAUUCUCCGUUUUUAUGUGUUUCGAAAAAAGUUUGUCAAGGAGACUUGAUCAACCUCAUUGACGGAUUUCUGUUGAUGACCAUGAGAUGGAUGAAUCUAGGAGUCACAACCUUCUGUUCCCAACUUUUACUUUCUGUUGUUUAGAAGAAAAAUAAUAAUUUUAGCUUUAUUUUCCUAUUUUCCGCGUUUUCCGUUCAAUAGAAAAGUGACCCGAAAAUAAAAGUUCUCCAAAUGCCCUGAAAUUCAAGUAUGAUUUUUUCUGGAAUAUUUGAAAAUUUCUGAGAUAGAUAACUAGUCACGGGGAUGCACCAGUGGGCCACAAGCCCAGGAGGCGCGCCCACCCCCCUGGGCGCGCCUGGCAGGCUUGUGGGUCCCACAUGACCCCCCUCCACUUAUUCCAGCUCCCAUCUCCUUCGUCUACCUCCAGAAAAAUUAUUCCACUGCUCAAACCCGUGUUCUUGCUCUUUGUGCUGCAUUUUUCAAUCUCCUUGUGCAAAGCUCCAUACACCAAACUGUUUUGGGGAAUUUUUCCUUGGUAUGUGACUCCUCCAUCGAUCCAAUUAGUUUUUGUUCUAGUGCUUUAUUCGUUGCAUAUUUUUGCUGCCUUGGUGACCCCGUUCUUGAGCUUUGCAUGUUAAUUUUAGUUGGUCCCAAGUAGUUUUGAUGCAUGAUAUGGCCUCUAGGAACUUGUAGGAGUAGUUGCUAUGAGUUUUGUUGAGCCUUGUUCACUUUUCUUUUGAGUCACUAAAAAUUUCAAAAAAAGAAGAUGUUCACGAAAAACUAUCAUGGUGGUUCCUCAAGCAAAAGGGGUCCCCGUCUCACGAUUCGGGAGCCCGAUCCUUAUCAGCCGAGGAACGCACAGGUGCAACCAUGUGAAUGGCCUUCCGAUGACUUUAUGAUUGAUGCAGGUUUCAAGGACGAGUUUGAUACUUUUGUUCACAACGCCGGGCUCAAAGAAUUCAUCUCCAAUAAAUGUGAACAGUAUACUACACUCACCGCCUCUUUUGUUCGUAGAUUCAAAUUUUCAGUUGGCCGUGACACAUCCAUACUGUUUGAUCUUUAUGAAAAAUCGUAUACCAUGGAUUUAGAGGAUUUUAAUAGAAUUUGCAAGAUACUUGAUUGGGGUAGUCCCAAUGACCCUCCUAAAUAUUUGGUUAGAGAUUUUAUUUCUAGUAUAAUUGUUGGAGAAACUAGAGAUAUUACGCAGGCUACCAUGGGGAGCAUUCAUUUUCCUGCCUUACAUUAUUUUGCCCUCUUCAUAGGUAUAUGCAUUAACGGCAAGCAUGAGCAUAGUCACCUCUGCGCACCUAACCUUAGUAUUCUUAAGAGCGCAGUAACGAGUGAUAGAAGUUUCAACAUGGGAGCUAUAAUUGCGAGGAGGCUAAAUAGUAAUGCUAAUGAAGGGGAUUUCUUUGGUGGGAUCUAUGCCACUCGCAUAGGAAAUUUUCUUCGAAUACCCAUCCGCACAGGAGAUCCCCCGGUCCAUACAGCUUUCCUUGAUCACGCCGCUAUGAGACAUUAUCAGUUCCUUGAGAGGGAUAAUGAAUCCCUCCUAUACCGGUUAAUAUUUAACUGACAACGCGUUUUCCAUAUUACCCUUCCUGCUCCUGCCUUCUUUGACUUUCAGGGAAAACAGAGAUAUUACAUAACCAGAGGAGAGGCAGAGGAGUAUGAGAGGGAGGUGAAGGUUGCUCGCCUCCGUGAGGCAGCUAUUCAGGCGGUAGCUGCCACGUUCCCGUACAACCCCCAUUAUGAUUUUGGAUAUCGCCCGGACCAGCCGUGGGAGUAGACCAACUUAGGCCAAAAUCCUAAGCUUGGGGAGUACGUGUCUCUCACCGACUUUAUAUUCAUGCUCACACAUUCACUUUGAUAGUCGGUGUUCACACUUUGCCAUUGUAUCAUCCAUGCUAGUUUAUUUCUUUUUCUCGCUUUCUUCUUGUGUGUAAGAAAAAUUAGUUGUAAGUUUACUUUCCAGCUUGCUUAGUGGUAAUUAAAAAGAAAACCCAAAAAGAUUUCCCGUUCUUCUUUUUCUUGUUGGGAGCUUUUCCGUGUAAAUAGUUUUCUUUUUCUUUGGGUCAAGGUAGAAUAUCAUGAUUAAAAUGUUUAGUGGCUCUCAUAUGCAUAAUUGUUUAUCCGUCAGAGAGCCCGUAUUACUUUGUCUUCUCCUCUAAGUUUGCUUGCAGAUUCCAGCUUAGUCCAAUGCAGGAACACUCUCAUUAUUAUUCACUUCAUUCGGUCGUGCAAGUGAAAGGCAAUAAUGACGAUAUAUGAUGAAGUGACUGAGCCUGGAAAAGCUGGUAUGAACUCGACCUAUUUUGUUUUUGUAAAUAUGACUAGCUCAUCGUUCCUAAUUCAGCAUUGUUAUGAGAGAAACAUGUUUGCAAUGACAACUUAGAGAUCAUAGCUUCUGAUGCCAUGCUUAAUUAUCUAGGAGCUUAUAAUGGUUUGUCUUGGAUGCCAACAUGAAUUUCAAAAUGAUUAUGAUGCAGUAUGAUAAAAUGGUAUCCUCCUUUGAAUGAUUCAAGUGGCUUGACUUGGCAAAUGUUCACGCAUGUAGUUGAAACAAAAUCAACAUAGCCUCUAUGAUAUUCAUGUUUAUGGUGAUUUAUAUCCUACUCAUGCUUGCACUCAACAUUGGUUAAUUUCAAUGCAUAUUAAUGACUGUUGUCCCUCUCUAGUUGGUCGCUUCCCAGUCUUUUGCUAGCCUUCACUUGUACUAAGUACGAAUACUGCUUGUGCAUCCACUUCCAUAAACCCAAAGUUGUUCCAUAUGCGUCCACCAUACCUACCUAUAUGCGGUAUCUACCUGCCGUUCCAAGUAAAUUUGCAUGUGCCAGUCUCUAAACCUUCAAAUAAUAAUCUGUUUUGUAUGCCCGAACCGCUCAUGUGGUGACAAGGGGCGGUCAGUAUCUUCCAUGCUAGGCGUGUUAUCCUUGAUACGUGUUUAUUCACUAUCACUCACGAGAAAGGGGACGGUAAUCGGAAUGCCCAGUUCCAUGCUCAAGUCGAAAAUAUAAUUGCAAACAAAACUCCCCUGGAUUGUUGUUGGUAUGGACGGCAACCGAGGAUUCGGCUAGUCGUGGAGUGUGAUUGAUCGGUGGUGGGGGAGUCAAAACUUUACUUUUCUGUUUGGGAACCGCCUAUAAUAUGUGUAGCAUGGAAGAUGGUGAAAACUCUUGGUCAUCGCGUUGACAACGAAAGCAUGCCACCCAAAAUUAUUUAUCUCUGUUUUAAAAAGCUUGAGCUCUCGCAGCUCUGCAAAUCAAUGCUUCCCUCUGCGAAGGGCCUAUCUAUUUACGUUUCUGUUGAGUCAUCCUCUUCUUAUUAAAAAGCACCAUUAGAGAGCACCUCCGUCAUUUUUAUGCUUUGCUAUUAAUUGAUAUUGAGUAUGACUGCGACUGGAUCUUCUUUGCAAUGAAUUACAAUGUUCAGUCAGCCCUUGGUCUUUGAAGGUGCUCUGCAUUUAUGUUUUGCAGUCUCAGAAAGGGCUAGCGAGACACCAUCUGUUCAUAUUGUAUUAUGAUUGUUUUGAAUGAAGUGUUGAUGUUUGAAACUUAUUAUUAUUGCUCGCUAGUUGAUUAUGCCAUUGAUAUGAGUACAUCAUGAGACCUAAAUGUUAUUGCUUAUGUGGUUAGCUUAUGAUGUUGCUGAAAAUCCGAAUAUGAGUUAGACAUAAUUACUACAACAAGGUCAAACAGAGUUCGUAAAAGUUGUUCUUUUGUCUCUUUCAGUUUGUCAACUGAAUUGCUUGAGGACAAACAAGGCUUUAAGCUUGGGGGAGUUGAUACGUCUCCAUCGUAUCUACUUUUCCAAACUCUUUUGCCCUUGUUUUGGACUCUAAUUUGCAUGAUUUGAAUGAAACUAACCCGGACUAACGCUGUUUUCAGCAGAACUGCCUAGGUGUUGUUUUUGUGCAGAAAUAAAAGUUCUCGGAAUGACCUGGAAACUUACAAGGAUUUUUUGUGGAAUAUAUAAAAAAUACUGACGCAAGAAUUACCUGAAGACACGGAGCCAGGGGCCCACAAGCCCAGGAGGCGUGCCCCCCCCCUAGGGCGCGCCUGACAGGCUUGUGGGGCCCACAUAUCUCCGCAGCCUCCAACUCCAAGUCUAUAAAGUCUCUCUUGCCCAGGAAAAAUUAAGAGAGAAGAGUUCAUCGUGUUUCACAACACGGAGCCGCCGCCACCACCUGUUCUUUCUCGGGAGGGAAGAUCUGGAGUCCGUUCUGGGCUCCAAAGAGGGGAAAUCGACGUCGUCGUCAUCACCAAUUCCAUGAUGCUCUUCACCGUUCGUGAGUAAUCUCAUCGUAGGCUUGCUGGACGGUGAUGGGUUGGAUGAGAUCUAUCAUGUAAUCGAGUUAGUUUUGAUGGGGUUUGAUCCCUAGUAUCCACUAUGUUCUAAGAUUGAUGUUGCUACUACUUUGCUAUGCUUAAUGCUUGUCACUAGGGCCCGAGUGCCAUGAUUUCAGAUCUAAACCUAUUAUGUUUUCAUCAAUAUAUGUGUGUUCUUGAUCCUAUCUUGCAAGUUGUAGUCACCUACUAUGUGUUAUGACCCGGCAACCCCGGAGUGACAAUAGCCGGAACCACUCCCGGAGAUGACCAUAGUAUGAGGAGUUCAUGUAUUCACUAUGUGCUAAUGCUUUGUUCCGGUUCUCUAUUAAAAGGAGACCUUAAUAUCCCUUAGUUUCCAUUAGGACCCCGCUGCCACGGGAGGGAUGGACAAAAGAUGUCAUGCAAGUUCUUUUCCAUAAGCACGUAUGACUAAAUACGGAAUACAUGCCUACAUUACAUUGACGAACUGGAGCUAGUUACAUAUCACCCUAUGUUAUAACUGUUACAUGAUGAAUGUCAUCCGAAGUAAUUAUCCAUCACCGAUCCAAUGCCUACGAGCUUUUCCUAUACCGGUCCUUGCUAAGUUACUUUACCGCUACUGCUGUCACUACUGCUACUGUUACUGCUGCUACAGUUACUAUCACACUACUUUGCUACAUAUACUAAGUCUUUCAGGUGUGGUUGAAUUGACAACUCAACUGCUAAUACUCGAGAAUAUUCUUUGGCUCUCCUUGUGUCGAAUCAAUAAAUUUGGGUUGAAUACUGUAUCCUCGAAAACUGUUUCGAUCCCCUAUACUUGUGGGUUAUCAAGAAUACCCGCCCUGAGUCAUGCUCUUGUGGUUAGGAUUCUACUCCUCUAAGUGAUGCUUUUGCAUGCCUUUCCUUCCUCACGCACCUACAAACUAUUCGCUAUUUCCUUCCGCGAUAAUGUGAGCAGUUUUGAAAUUUCUGUAAAGUGGACCCAAUGUGUGAGAUGAUGACAACUGGGACCCAUCUGAUUGGUGGGACAACUCCAAAAUAUAAUGGCCCAAACAAUGUUAAAAGGCCAUGACCUAGAAAUAAAUAAAGGCUGAAUUGUAGGGUUUGGCCUAUGUAGCUAACCCAAAUUGGCAAGAAAAAAAUAUGAAUGGGUUGAAUUGUUAGGCUCGGCUCAUGUAAAGUAGUGAAAUGGACCGAGCUGAUUCUUAUCAACGACCAAUUCUAUUGGUUGCAAUUUUGCCGCGAUUUUGCUACAUCAGCUUGCCACGUUGGAUCCGAUGUGGCCUGGGCAGACAACUAGUGGCCAAAACAAAAGGUCAUAGGACCAACGACCUUUUGUUUUGGUCGUUGCUUUCUACGACCAUAUCACAAAGAAGGUCGUUAAGUUUCAUUAAAGAUGGUUAGUUUUUGACCAACUGUUUUUUAGCAUAAAAAGAUCGCAAAUGAAAAACAAUGUUCAUUCAGCGACCAAUAGUGAUGGUCGCAAGUUGACAUAUUUCUUGUAGUGUGUAGCAGAGAUAUCAGACACACAACCUCUGCAACAUCGAAAUGUCCUAAAGACAUUAAGAAUGCACACAACCCAAAAAGAAAAGGAAAACAAGAUUUUUUUUUGCUACAAGAUGAAUUCCUUGUAACUAGCGAUAUGAUCCACAAGCUAAGACAAGUCGUAGCUGUGAGGAAACAAAGUGGAACAAUAUGUGAAGGUCGCAUGGACUUUUCCGCAAAAAAAAAAAGUCGCAUGGACUAAUCAAGGACAGAACAAUUAAUGGGUGGCCACGCUGCUUGUUAAGUGUAAACUAAUGUCUAUGUUUGUAUACGCCUAGCACCAAAUUAACAACCCCGCACUAGACAGUGACAUGUUAUCUCCAUUAUAUUUGUAUACAUUGCUUGAUUGGUUCCAUACAUGCAUCUUGAGAAAAGAAGAAUGCUUUUGUUAAUAAUAUGGUCGGAGAUAAUGAAUAAUCAAGCUGUGAUAUCCAAUGCAAGUUGGAUAUACUUAAGGGACGGGUCUAGAAUUGUUAGAGUUUAAUUAGUUAAUGUAAUUAGUUAACUUAAUCUUUACUUGUAACUGCACGUGGGCAUCUCCACGACCGAACCAACACUUCGUUCGUGGAGCGACGCCUCCACGAACCGCCUCCUCGUACCGUCGCUUUUUUUGGAAGCGACUGUUCCCCAUGUAUAUAUAUGUUCAUUCAUCAAUGAGAAACAGAGUUUGAUUACAUUUCUUCACACGUUAUCAGCACGUAGCCUACCGACAGAGCACCGGAGACGAAGAGAAAAGGUGAGAUGGCAGGGAUGAACCUGCACAGAAUCACCUCCGCCCUCGUUCGUUUCUUUAGAAGAGAAAUCCAUCGAUCUGCAAGAAGCCAGGGUCUUGGAGUUCAUCGCCAUUGGGGCUCUGGCAACGGCCGCCGUGGCUGCUGUGGUCGUCGUGGGCGUCGUGGUCACCACGACCACCAUGGAUCUGCAGCAGCAGGACCAAGCCACCCACCCAUGGCCGUCCACCAUGCCUACCAGGCACCUCCAAUGUCGGACUUCGUCGCCCCGCCGGCCUUUGUCGCUCCAGUCAUGGAUUGGCAACUGGAAUACACAGGGGGGAUCUUCUGUCCUGUGCAUAGAUACGGGCCAUGCCCUUCAAACCCGGCCAAUCCACCACUGGAAUCAGAGAUCGACGGAGGGGACACUUACCCGGAUCUCCCAACACCGACGCCUGCCGACGAAGAUCCCCUUGCCGCCUCCAGGCUAUGGCCCUGUUCCGGCCAUGGCCAAGUGGGAGGUGAUCCUGACGGAGAUGGCCGAAGCCAGCGCCCCAUCGGAGGCGGCCGAAGCCUGCGGUCCAUCGGAGGCGACCGAAGCCAGCGCUCCAUCGGAGGCGGUCGAAGCCAACGCACCGACGGAGGCGACCGGAUCCGGCGCCACCAUCCCCGCAUCUCCGCCGCCUUCGCCCCAAGCCCGCCCUCGGACGCCACCAGCGGCGGCUCGCCGGAUCCUUUGCCGAUUUGCUGCAGCACUAGAGCAGCACCGCCCCGGCCUCCGCUCCGCUCCUGGGCUCACGCCGGCAUCCACCUCCCUGGCUACGACGCGGCAGCCGUAGCCCCGUCCUCUCCCUGAGCGCUGCCGACGAGGGGCGCCAUCGGCGGCGGAUGUUGCGGGACGUCGUGGAGGUGGCUGUGGAACGGGGGAAUUCAAGGCGAUAUUUGUGGUCCUAUCCAACCAUUAUCUGGACCUUUUAGGUAUUUCAUGGUUCUAAUUGACGCAUCUACACGAUGGUCUCACGUGUGUCUAUUAUCCACACGAAACCAUGCAUUUUCCAAAAUAAUGAGACAAGUAAUUAAAUUACAAGCUCAUUAUCCUGAAAAUCGGAUUAAGUCAAUUCGAAUGGACAACGCUGCUAAAUUUUCCUCACGUGCCUUCAAUGAUUAUUGCAUGGCCCUAGGAAUCGAAGUUCAGCACUCGGUCCCAUAUGUCCAGACACAAAAUGGAUUGGAAGAGUCCCUAAUUAAGAGAAUUAAGCUCAUUGCACGGCCCUUGCUAAUGAAUUGCAACUUACCAACUUCAUGUUGGGGUCACGCAGUUUUACACGCUGCUGACUUAAUUCAAUUGCGACCAACUGCAUAUCACAACACUUCCCCUCUGCAAUUAGUACGUGGAAACCUACCAAAUAUUUUCCAUCUGCGUAAAUUCGGAUGCGCCACAUAUGUGCCCAUCUCACCACCGCAGCGUACAUCCAUGGGCCCACAUUGGAAAUUGGGGAUCUAUGUGGGGUGCAAAUCACCGUCGAUAAUCAAGUACCUUGAACCCCUCACUGGGGAUCUAUUCCCAGCCCGUCACGCUGACUGCAUCUUUAAUGAGGAAUAUUUCCCGGCAUUAGGGGGAGACAUCAAGUACCAAAAGAAUGCCCGGAAAUCUAUUGGAAUGCCCAAGACAUUUCCUCCUCUGAUCCACGUACUCAAGAAACUGAACUUCAAGUUCGGAAAAUAAUUAAUUUGCAACAUAUUGCAAAUAACCUGCCAGAUUCAUUUACUGACUAUAAAGGUGUUACAAAAUCCUACAAUCCUGCCAGAAAUGCGCCCGAAAGAGUGGAGGUACCAACAAAAACCACUCAACCCCCUGUUCAAAGGAAGAGGGGGAGAAAUAGGGGGAGAAAUACGGCCACAGAACAGGAUUCAACUUCUCGCAAACAAAAAAGGAAACAGAGGAAGAAACCCCGUGAACCAGUAAAUGUAAAUCAACCUAGCGUUGAUAAUCAUCAAAUGGGUAAUGAACACCCAGUGGAAGAACGGCCUCCACAACCCAGCUCAGUUGUGCACUCAAUGACUAGGACAUCGGAAAACCCUGACUCAAUCGUAUUGGGAAAUCACGACCAGUCAACAUGGGUAAAUGAAAUUUCCACCAACUAUAUGGAUUCUGGAGAAUGUUACAAUCGUAAGUCUACUAUUGUCGACAUAUAUUUCUCAACUACAGUUGCAGACUACCUUCUAAAUGAUCAUGAUCCAAAGACCAUGGCAGAGUGCAAGAAACGCUCCGACUGGCCUAAAUGGAAGGAUGCAAUCCAGGUAGAGUUAGCCUCGCUCAAUAAACGAAAGGUAUUCACUGAAGCAAUACCUACACCUCCCAGAGUUUUCCCUGUGGGAUUCAAAUGGGUUUUCGUCCGUAAAAGAAACGAGAACAACGAGAUGGUGAGAUAUAAAGCAAGGCUUGUAGCCCAAGGUUUCACGCAGAGACCAGGCAUUGAUUGCAAUGAAACAUACUCUCCAGUAAUGAGUGGUAUUACUUUCCGAUACCUUAUUUCUAUGGCAGUACAAAAUCGUCUACCUAUGCAGUUGAUGGACGUAGUGACCGCCUAUCUUUACGGUUCACUUGAUUCGUACAUAUGCAUGAAGGUUCCUGAUGGAGUUCCAAUCCCGAAUCCAAACGCAACGCAUAUUGUGUAAAACUAAACAAGUCUUUAUACGGCUUAAAACAGUGGGGUCGCAUGUGGUACAACCGACUUAGUGAGUUCUUUUUGAAAAAAGAUACUCCAAUAAUGAUGAUUGCCCAUGUGUUUUCAUAAAAAAGUCCGCAACCGGAUUUUGCAUUAUUUCAGUGUAUGUUGAUCAUCUUAACAUCAUUGGAACCACCGAAGAUAUUGAUGAAGCACGCAAUAUCUUAAAGACGGAAUUUGAAAUGAAGGAUUUGGGUAAAACUAAAUUUUGCUUAGGAUUACAACUUGAGCACCUUCCCUCGUGUAUUUUGGUUCAUCAAACCGCCUAUAUCCAGAAAAUAUUGGAGAAAUUCAAUAUGGACAAAUACUAUCCAUCCAAAAUCCCUAUGGUAGUUCGAUCUCUAGACAUAGAGAAAGAUCAGUUUAGACCAAUGGAUGAUGGAGAAAAGAUAUUAGGACCUGAAGUCCCAUAUCUUAGUGUGGUUGGAGCGCUCAUGUAUCUUACAAACUGCACCAGACCUGACAUUGCAUUUGCAGUAAAUUUAUUAGCUAGACAUAGCGCAGCUCCCACUAAACGCCAUUGGAUCGGAGUUAAGAAUAUCUUUCGAUAUCUCCAAGGUACAAAGGAUCUUGGCCUCUUCUUUCAAUUUCAAAGAAAUUUGGACAUUGAUUUGAUUGGGUAUACAGAUGCUGGCUACUUAUCUGACCCCCAUAAUGCCAGAUCACAAACCGGUUUCGUGUUCCUACAUUGUGGGACAGUCAUAUCAUGGAAAUCUUCCAAGCACACCCUAGUGGCUACAUCCACCAAUCGUUCUGAAAUAAUCGCAUUAUAUGAAGCAUCACGUGAAUGUGUAUGGCUUCGCAGAAUGAUAAACCACAUACAAAAAUCAUGUGGCAAAGGUCUUAUCAAAUCUCCAACCAUUAUCUAGGAAGAUAAUGCUCCUUGUGUUGCUCAAAUGCAAACGGGUUAGAUAAAGAGCAAUAUCACUAAGCAUAUUUCUCCUAAAUUAUUUUUUCCCCAUCAAUUACAGAAGAAAGGGAAAAUAAAUAUUUUGCAAGUUAAAUCGUGCGAUAAUCUCACUGACCUAUUUACAAAAUCACUCCCAGCUUCAACAUUUGAAAAAUAUGUUCAUGGGAUAGGUAUGCGAAGACUUCGGGAUUUGCAAAGAUCAGGGGGAGUUUCUCUCUCUGAAAAAUAACCCGUUCAAACAUUAUAUUGCACUCUUUUCCCUUUAUGAGUGUACUUCCAUAGUUCUCAUCAAGGUUUUUAAUGAGACAAUAUCAACAUAAGACAUAUGUCAUACUGUCCGUUUUUCCCCACCGGGUUUUUUAGGAAAAGUAUAUACGACGUAUUUUUGUCCUCUAAUUUUAUGGAUACAUUUCAUAUAGAAUUGACAGAGGCAAUAAUCAUUAUAUGUUGUAUCAUUUUCUCCUUAUUUUUCCACAAGGUUUGAAGGAGUUUUAGCAGCAUAUACUAUACUACUUCUCAUAUUUUUCUCACGGGGUUUUUGGAGGAGACUAUUUUAAGAUGAUGAACAUACAUUUUAAGAUGAUGAACAUACGAUGAAUACUUGCUGUUUUCCCUGCAAUGAAACUGUAUGUACGACCGUGGAAUUCUAGUCCAGUCAUUUCAAUGUCAUUUACGGUGAAACUGAGGAGCAUAACGUACGGGGACACAUGCUAGCUGCAAACACGCGCACUCCGGCCGCCGCCAGUCAUUUGCAACACUGUGCGUUGUGUCAAGCUACGGAUUUCCGGUGGUGGCUGUCGACCGAGAUCGAACGUUUCUUCCGGCGACCUCUAUCUUUUGCUGUGGUAAUUUCUUUUGUCGUCGCUAGAGGACGUGGAUGAUAUUGUUGCAACGCACGGCAAUUCUUUGGUUUUGUUUAUUUAUUUAUAAAUAAUCUAACUGCUGCGGUCACGAUGGAUUUUCUAGGUAGCAUACCUCUUGUAUCUACUCCACGUCUUCACUUCAACUUUAUGCGUGGCUAGCUAGGGCAGUUGCCGACAGUUUGGACAAAAGAUCAGAUCAGUGGCCGAAUCGGGUAAGGUUGUCGGUUCAAGGUUUCAUCGGUCGGUUCACAGUCUGUUUUUUUUUUUWAUAAAAUAUCUUUUGUAUACUGAUGUAAUAUAUUUACCUUUUUCUUAACACAACACAGUCACAUACACUCAUAGAUACGCAAAUAUACUUACCCCUAUGACUGGGAGCUAUGACAUGUUUUCCUUGGGGUUUGUGAUCUCGAACGGACCACUAUUUGUACACGUCGACUUGGUUCGACAUCUCCGGUUUUACCUCCCAAUUCUUUAUCUUUAUCUUUAUCUUUACCUACUAAUAAAGCAAUUAGUGCUUCUGUUGUCCGUCUUUAACAUUGCCCAUAAAGUUGAUGAAAAUUAUCCACAAUUGCCACUUAUAAGUCAUUGAAAACAUUUCAAACAAGAAAAUCUUUGGACUGGGCCGGCCCAUGUAGGCACCUCCUAUAUUACGCUCUGGGCAUUGCAAAAAGAUGCAGCACACCUAUUUGGGCCGGUCCAUGCGUGGCCGCCUGUUAUUUUAGUUUUUUUUACUUUUCAGUUCUAUUUUUUUCUACUUUAAAUAAUUUAGAAGUUCAAAUAACUUUUUCUUAAAUUUAAGAAACUGAGAAUUUUGAAAUAAAAUAUUAAAAAACAUAUUUUUUUGAGAAUUCAAAAACUACUCAGGAGUUUUGAAAAAUGUUUGCAUAUACAAAGAAAUGUUUAAAUUUUUAAAAAAUGUCUGUAAAAUGAAAAAAGUCAAUAAUUUCAAACAAAAGUCCGUGUAAAAAUCUUAAAAACAGUUUGUGCCUCUGUUUUUAGUCUCAUUUUUAAUUUUCAUUUUCUGUUCCAUUUUUUAAAUUUAAAUAAUAUCGACUUUUGAAAUUUUUUUGCAACUUAUAAAACUUAGAAUUUUGAAAUAUAAUUUUGAAGAAAAUAUAAAAUGUUUGUGAAUUCAAAAAAUGCUCGGGAUAUUUGUAAAAGUAUUCCCAUAUUCAGAAAAAUGUUCAUAAUUUUGAGAACAAUGUUGGUGAAAACAAUAAAAGUCCAUGAUUUUGAGAAAAACGUUUGUGUAUUAUUUUUUGAGUGCAAUUGAAAAAAAUAUUUGCUAAUUCAAAAAAUGUUCAUGCAUUUCAAGAAAUGUCCUAAAAUUUUAAGGACGUAAUAUGAUCAACAUCCUUGAAGAUUAUAAUUAUUUUUCUUCCGUUGCAUCGCACGGGACCUUUUGCUAGUUGCAUAAAAAGUUCAAAACCUUUCGAUUCAACCGGUCCACUUUGGUUUAACAGGUGGAACGUCCAGAGAGUUUAAGAAACCGGCAUUGUCCCUGGUUCCAGCUUUCAGUUUCACCAGCGGUCCCGUCCCGUGCUGAUAAAUAUGCUGGCCGAUUAAUUUCGAUAUAUGCCUCUUUUAUUCUUUUAUCUAUCAGCAUAUCAACAUUUGUGUGCAUGUUGAGUCGUUGACUUGCCACCUCGAUCCAUCUUAUAUUCAUUUAUUUGUUCGAGUUGUGCAUUCUAUCUUUGCAGGUGCAAGAGAUAAUAAUUCAGUAUAACCUAGACACUUUCCUCCAUCUAUGGAUUCUCUACUUGAACAUUACCAUCAUAUACCAUCCAGAUGAUACUAGCUGGAUUACUGGGUUGGAUUACAUCUUCGAGUUGGCACCUCUCUUAGAAGAUUUGGAACUACAUGUAAGUUCUUCACUCGCCGAUCAUGGUACUUGCAUCUGUUUGUAUACAAAUAUGUAUUUGGUAUUAAUGAAUGGUUGGAUAUACUUGUGCAAAUAAAUUGUGGUAGAUUUGGCCUUCCUACAAGGAGUGACAACUCUUCCAAGGCCUCGGCGUCAUCAUCUCAGUAGCGCCCGCAUUAUUGAUUUUGUGAUCUGGUGGGGAUAGUCGAGCUUGAUGUCCUCCAGAUCCAGGCACGACGCGCCACAUAGAAGCCUCGUGAUAUCCCCCGGUGGGCGUCACCGACAGAGACAAUUGUGCAAUGAAGACCCCGGCAGCCUUUGUUGUCGCCCUAUAACUGUAGCUGGGUUUUUGCAACUAGGGCGGUCGCGUGGCUCUGCUCAAGCUGCCCACUAGUCCCCUGUUUCGACAUGAUCCAGAAGACAAGUCGCGGAGACUAAACAAGGUUGAACAACAUGUGCCUCUUGCAGUUUAACUAAUGAUGCUUCUUAAAUAAUGCCUUGUCACUUGCUAGAUUUUUCCUCCAAGUUUCUAUAUGCACCGUACCUUGCAUGUCUCUCAGAGAGGAUGGUGUACUGUUGAUGUAUGUACCACUUCUUUUUGCAGGGAAUGUAUAUAUCAUGUACGUACCACUUGCAUGAGCCGCUGAAUGUUCCUAGGUAGUCUUAACGUAUGUUCGUACGCUAACCAUUAGGCUACACUGGAGCGAGUAGUAGUCAACAAGUCAUGGAUGAUGGGAUGCGUGCGUUCAUGCUCUAAAAAGUCAAAGGCUAGCUCUUUUUCUUAAAUUUGUUGCAAUGGUUUUUAGUUGUUGUGGCUAGAAGACGUGGAUGCUAUUGUUGCAAGGCACGACAAUUCCUUGUUUUUAUUUAUUUACAUUUAAAAAUAUGUUGCAGUCGCGACAUAUUUUCUAGGCAGGACGGCAUCUCAUCCCCUUCAUCUUAUCAGUUAACUCGCUAUGCUGUUUAGAUUUCUACACCAUCUCAACUUUGCACAUUUGGUUCGACCUCUUUGGCCGCUAUUGGCCCCUUACGUCAAAUGGUUUCGGCUUUUCUGAUGAAAUGUUUUAAUCACCGAAUAAAGCAACAGAACACGUACUUAAUUUGUACUAAAACCCGAUGAGAUGCAGCCGCGCAGGUAAGGAAGCCCAUCUAUGGGCCCAUCCAGUUUGCCGUACAUAACAACACAAGCCCGUGAAUAUUUGAUUGUCGCAUAGAGAAAAUGUAUUUAAGAAUUCACUAACUGCAACCUUGAAACAUUAAAUAGAAGAAUGACAGAGUGUAGACGUGCACUACCUUUUGGUCAGGGGCAGAGCUAGGAUUUGAACAUAGGUGGGGCGAAGAGGACAAUGCACGUGCAGGAAAUUCAGGACCAAAUAUAUUGAUUCUGAAAUAUAGUGUUAAUAUCAAACAAACAAUGUUAUUUUUUCCUGCAAUAACAUUGAAAUAGCUAGGUUUUUUAUUAGCUUAGAUAUAUAUCUACACACAUCAGGCCCAUCAAACGUCAAGGUUUGUAGAGAUUUCACUCCCAAAAUAUAUACUCCCUCUGUACCUAAAUAAUUGUAGUAGGGAAGAACUAGUCAAGUUUUCCCCAAUUACAAUUAUUUAGAUACAGAGGGAGUACAUGUCACUCUGCAAUGUGCAAUCUCAUCAGUAGACUGGGUGGUUAAAAUAAAUGGUUUCAAUUGUUAGUUAUUGGUGGUCUCUUCUUCCUCAUGCUUUAUGCAAUUCUAGACUUCUAGUUAGUACACAAAUAUCAUUUUUAAUUGAAUCUAACUGGUACAACCUCUGUCCCAAAUUACGUGUCUUAAAUUUAUCAAGAUAUGAAUGUGUUGUAUGUAAACAAACCUAAGACAAGUAACCUUUGGAUCCGCACUGCUUCUGGUACUACCUCAUGUUGGUUUAACAGUGUGCCUCCUCACGCCAUCCAUGAUCAGCGUGUUAGUUAAGCUGUCUUUCCACUCUCUGCCAUAUCUCUUAUACCACUAUCAUGAUGGGCUUGCCUGCAUUUAUACAUAUACUUCUUUUUUUGCACCGUUACAUAUACUUUUUUCGUCACGGGUUAGAAGGCGUGCUUGGAAAUUCUCUGGAACCUAGGCGUUGUUGAUUGAAUGCGAGAUGGGUUGAAAAAUAGAAUUCACACUACGCAUGCAUACAGAACUAGUACAAUGGAGUACUAAUUGGCUGCUAAAAGUAAAUGCAAUGUGUCCACAACUUUGUUUAGUGUGAAAAUGCACGUAAAUUUAACCAUGCGUUCUAAACCGCGACUGAGGGAGUACUUGAUAUGGCAAGUUCUUUUUUAGCAUUUGUGGGCAUAUGUUGGCUUUAUUGACCAUUAAUGGGGUGAUAGUGACAAGGUAGCAUUUCUAGUAUUAUAGGUGAUCCAAAUUUAACGGUGUAUAAUGACCACACUAUUAUCCAAAUGGGAACAACCUCCCAUUAAUGGUAGGAGAAUCAGUCACCCAUUUUUGUACAACCUCCCACUAAUGUGUCUGUGAUUUGUUUGCAAACAUUUAUUUUUUACUCUCACUGCGAAAUGCCCCUAUGAGGAAGAACAACAUAAAAAUAGGUCUCGUGCCUGUGAGUUUUUGCAAAGUUUUUUACUCUCCCUGUCAAGUGGCCCUACAAGUAAGAACAAUAGUAAAAAAUGGAUCGUGUACCUGUGAUUUUUUACAAAGUUUUUUACUCUCACUGCCGAGCGGCCCUAUUAAGAAAAGCAAGACAAAAAUUAGGCAGCAGCUUCAAGGGGUUGAACCAGGUUCCAACUCACCAUCGUACCAUCGCAUACUUCCAAUUUUUCACAGGUUACAAAUGAAGUUAUUCCAUUCCUAAUAAAAUUUGAAAUAAAAAUGAGUUUUUGUUCGGUACACCGUACCCCCGCCCCCUCCCUCACAACCUACCUUGAAAAAAGCCAAGGCACGCGUUGGUUUGAAGUUUUCGUAGCAAUCUAGAGGAUCUGUGUGAUAUUUCAGCUGCAACGGACUGCAGUUCUUUGUCGAUUUUUCUGCAAAUGAUUUACCUAUUGUGGCCGCUAUAGAUUUUCUAGGUAGCAUGUCUUCUCAUCCCAUCCCGGGCCUCGCUCUCGAGGCCAUCGGGGAUCAGUUUGUGUGUUCGUCCGAUUUCUUCUAAGAUCGAUCUGCAACGUCCGUCGGUACCGCUGGAGCUGCACUUCCACUCUAGUGUGGCACGCCAAUAUUUUUUAUCAUAUCUACACGCCGUUGCUUAUACUUUAAAUGGUAUGUUUUGGGAGCAUUCGUUUGUAGCCUUAUGCAACAUAGACUAUCAUGCAAUGACAGGAUGACAGUGACUGAGGUAGAAUUUCUGGAACCGUACCCAAUGACAGAUUUUAAGAUGGAUGGUGAUCACACUGUUAUCCAGAUGGAAAAACCUCCAAUGGUAGGAAUCAUAUACUUGGGCAUGUUGUCCUGAUUUUUCUUUUUGAAAUUGAGACAAAAUAUUUGCCUCAUCUCACUAAUAAAAGAGAGGGUUGAAUUACAUAGCUGGCUGUCCAAGGACGGCUCUCCAAUUUUGUUUUUUAUUCUUACGACAUUACAGAACUAACAUCCUCAGAGCAACUCUAGCACACCCCGCAUCCAUCCCCGACCCGUAAAAUAACCGCCAAAAUGCGGGUACGGGCCGGAAAGCCUGCCCGACCAGACCACGCAUCCCGCCCCGGUCCGCAAAUUUUUUUUGGGGGCGCGGCAAAUUCCCGACCCCAACCCGGAAAAACGCGGGUUUCCGCCUCGCUGCUGCGGUGCCCUGCAUCACAGAGAAGCAGUUGGCGGGAGGGACAUUUCAGGCCGCGCUCUUUGCCCCCUCCUUCCGCCGCCGCCCGCCCUUGCUUACGCCCGCCCGCCGCCGGCGAUUCCGGCAAUAUCUGCAGGCGAGCCGCUGCACCGCCCCUCCGGAUCCGGUGAGAAGACSCCCCCCCCCCCGCCGCUGUCGCCGCCGGGGUAUCGACCACCAUCGAGCGCACCCCCUCGUCGCCGCCCGGGUCAUCCGCAACCGGUUAGUCCUUUAUUUUUAUUUUUGUGAGCUGUGCGAGAAGUUCUUACUAUCCGAUUCGUCCGAUUCGGACGACUCGGAUGUUGAGACCAUGCUUGCGAACUUUCGGCAGCAAACAUUAGUCAUGGCGCUUGCCGUGAAGGAGCAUGAAGACGAGCACCGGAAGAGGAGGCGAGGAUUGACUGUCGGGCGUUUGUGCAUUUCUCGAAAUCGCCAUCUUGGAAACGAGAUGUUGAUGCAAGACUAUUUCACGAAGAAUCCUACAUAUCCUCCGCACCUCUUUCGGAGAAGGGAUCGAAUGCGCCGAUCCCUCUUUGUGAAACUUGUUCAAGCUUGCGAGUCAAAUUGCCGGUAUCCAUUUGUAUUUGUAUUCAUGACAAGUUUUGUAUUGCACUAUUUAAGUUUGCUAUGGUUAUUUGAAUAAUUAUUUGUAAUGCGGAUGAUUAUUGUAUUAUGUUUGAUUCGAAUAAUUAAGUUUGUUUUCGAUUGUUGAAUUAUGUUGUAUUUGAUAUUUGUGGGCUGAUGAUAUGCGGGAUGCAGCGGUGCAAAGAGCAGACCCCGCAAAGCCGACCAGUAAAAAAGUAUAUUCCGCGAAUAUAUAUUUUGACGGAUCCGUUUGGAGGGUCUGCAUGUGUGCCAGCCCGGGCCAGCCCGCAAAAGCUGUUUUACACGAACUGCAAACGCGUUUUGCAAGCAAGUAGUACUUGUUGUGGAACACGUCCGGCGUUCCACCACUCCUUAAUAGUGCCAAUUUUCUGGCCCCCUCUUGCAAAGUUCACUAGUGGAAAACGGACCUUUGGCCGGGACCCUUUAGUCCCGGCCUGCCUCUAGGCCAGGAUUAAAGGCCCGGCCACGUCACCCCAGUUCUCAAUGCCUCCCUCGAGGCUUUAGUCCCGGUCCGUAAGGAGCCUUUAGUCCCGGUUCGUGUCCCAAACCGGGACUAAAGGGCUACGCGGCGGGCAGUGGUGGUGGCAACCGUUCGUAUCCCCCUUUAGUCCCGGUUGGUGGCUCAACCUGGGACUAAAGGCCUAACACGUGGCAUGUCGUAGUGGUGGCAACCGUUGGUAUACCUCUUUAGUCCCGGUUGGUGGCUCAACCCGGGACUAAAGGCCCAAACGGUUUGCAUCCCGCGUCGUUUCGGGCAAUGAAAAGCACGAACCGAAGCACAGUCGCCAUUUCUCUGUUUCUUCUUCUCUCUCGCUCUCCCUCUCUGUUCUUCUCCUCUCUUCUUCCCUUCUCUUCUUCCACCAUGCCAACUCGCUUUCAAAAGGUGCUCGCACAUCGCACGACCAUGCUCGAUGUCGUGUACACGAACGAGAGCAGGGAGGUGCCAUUUUUUCUUGAAUAGUUGAAGGAAAAAUGUCUUGACGCCGCAAUGGAUCAUGAGAAGUUUUUGGGGCUUGAUCUGGAGUACACGGCCGAUCAACACGGUGUUGCCGUCAUCCAACUAUGCUUCGCACGCCAUGUCUUGAUCUUCCAAUGGGCGAGGUAAGUUUUGAGGCUUUCUUUGAUCCAAGAUAAUGACAUUGUAAGUUUAUUUGUUUCAAUCAUAGUUGGUUCCCUUCAAAUAGUUGUAGUGAAACAAUUUUGAUUAGUUGAAGGGGAACACAAUCUAAUUGGUAAUAGURGUUCCAUAAUCUGAAAAUCGUAUUAGAAUCAACUAGUGUUUAAUAUGUUUCAUUGGAAUCAUAGUUGGUUCGCUUCAAAUAGUUGUAGUGAAACAAUUUUGAUUAGUUGAAGGGGAACACAGUCUGAUUGGAAUAGUGUUCCAUAAUCUGAAAAAUCGUAUUAGAAUCAACUAGUGUUUAAUAUGUUCCAUUGGAAUCAUAGUUGGUUCGCUUCAAAUAGUUGUAGUGAAACAAUUUUGAUUAGUUGAAGGGAACACAAUCUGAUUGGAAUAGUGUUCCACAAUCUGAAAAAUAUGAUUGGUUCAAUAUGUUCCAUUGAAAUCAUAGUUGUAGUGAUACAAUUUUAUGCGGUGUUCUUUGAUCCAAGGUUAUGAAAAUUGCAUAUAGCUAGUGAUCUCUCUAGGUUCCAUUGGAUAGCAAUAUGAUAUGUCAUAGUCAUGAAAAUUGCAUAUAGCUAGUGAUCUCUCUAGGUUCCAUUGGAUAGCUAUAGUGAUCUCUGUAGGUUCCAUUGCAUAUGUUCUAUUUGAAUCCUAAAGAUAAUUUUCUCUUCAGUUGUAGUGAAACAUGUUUCCUUAUUGCAGCAGUAUGUAACAUUUGUUCCAUUUUAAUUUGUUUCUGUUGCAGUAGUGACAAGCAUUGUCCAGAACUCAUGGACUUCCUUCGCAGCGGCAUCACUUUUGCUACCGCUGACAUAAGGAACGACAAGCUGAAGAUGAGGUACAACUUCGGUAUUGCAGAAGGAAAACGCCAGGAUAGCAAAGGAACAUCAUGAUGCGCAGAUGAAAAAGAAGGAACCCGAGCCCCGCCCGGAAUACACCGAGAAGCAAAUAGCAUGGGCAAAAGACUUCAUAACCCUUCCAUCACAAUAUGACUUACACUAUAAGCCUGAUGACUAUACACGCACAUUGCAGAAGGAAGUGAAAAAGAGCAGUUCAUGUGCAAGUGCAAGUGGGAGCAAAUCAAGUUCAACUACAAGCAAGAAAAAAUCAGACGUUCCUCAGCUUGGACAACAGGCCAAACAGUCGAUCCCACCCCUCAAGGUGUUAACCGAGAAUGUUCCCCCUCCGAUGCAGGGGCAAGCUUUUGAAAGAGCAAAGGAGUUGGCGGCUGAAUGUGGUAUCUCGGUUGAAGAUUUGCCGGCUUCCCAAGACGACAGGAUACCCAAGGCUGUGGUAGCCCCUAAGCCACAGUUUGUCAUGGGAGAGCCUUUGGUCAGCAAAGAUGAUCUCCCAACAAAUAUGCGUUACUUGCAUCAAUGGUACUUAAGUGAAUCAAAGAAUGGGAGAAUGAUGAUCGUGCUGAGUGUCCCACGGGAGUACUACGGCGGCUCCGAAGAAAUCCAUAUCGACUUUGAUGAACUCUUCCAGAUGUACAAUGGCGACGCCCUCGAUAAAUCGCUUAUGAGUUGCUAUUGUCUGUAUGUUUUUCAAUUCGUUGUCUACAUAUAACUUGUUUAGUUAUUUCAAUUCAUUGUCUAUAUAUAACUUGUACUCUAUUAUGCAGAAUGAAGAUUCUGGAUUGUAAAAGUAAGACCAUCCUAAAUAUUGGGUUUAUUGACCCAGAUAAAAUACAUAUAGCGACGCUAACUGAUAAACCCAAGGAGGCAGAGGAAAACCUUCUAAGGUUUCUAAUAAAUCAAAAUUUCUGUGACCACAUACUGUUUCCAUACAACUUCAGGUGAGGGUCUUUACUCUGUUGUGUCCAUUCACUUAUAAGUGUAAUUGAUAAGUUACUGACAUAUACACACACACACACACACACACACACACACACACACACACACACAUGUGCAGCUUUCAUUGGAUUCUGUUGGCCAUUCAAAUUGAUAAGGGAAGAGUUGAUGUCUUCGACCCAUUAUCGAGACCCUUGGAACAGUUCCAAAGCCUGCAGGACAUGCUCCAAGGGUAAUUUUAAUCAAUCUUGCGCUCUAUCGGUCUCUUUCAAUGAUUUUCUGAUAUAUCAAUUAAUGAAAAACUUAGCAAAUCAUUAUCCUUGUCAGGCAGGGUUUGGAAGCGGUUCAAGUGCGUGACUCCCGGUAACUUUCCUGAGAAGCUGACCUUUAGAGCGGCUCAGGUAAGUAGUAGUAUGAUAUACUUCUAUUAAUUUUCAAUACAUUUAUGAUGCUAGAUUAUUAUUUUGAUUAUAUAUAUUAUAUUCUCGUAAAGUGCGACCAGCAGCCACGGGGAACGCAUCUAUGCGGAUACUAUGUUUGCGAGACCAUUCGCACGUUUACCUCUGAGCUCAAGGAUCACAGAUUCGACGUAAGCAAUGAACAUUCACACCUCUAUUUUUACCCGUCAUUCUUUGUUAUCAUGAUUGAUAUUCAUAUUCAUCUCCUCUUCUUAUAUAGCACACGACCAUGAGGACGAAGGUCCUACCAGAGCAACGCGCGAUUGCUGUUGCAGAGGAGCUUGCGGGAUUUCUGAGAACGGAAGCUAUAGAUGACAAAUGACGAUUUAGUGUAACCAGGGGCCAUUACUGAUGUUCGUCCAUGUAAUCGAAUAGACGGGCUCUAGUCCCGAUAAUUCAAAUCUCCAUAUAAUUGUAUAUAUAUGCUCGCUUGUAAGAUAAGUUAAUCUUAUAUAUAUAUGCAUAAUUAUUUCUAUUUAAAUUAUAUGAAAACUAAUUCCCGAACACCAAACAAGGCAUCACGUUAAUCUCCCGAACACCUAAACCCUAAAACCCUAAAACCCAAAAAUAAUUUCAUUCAAAAAAAAACCCAAAACCAGUAAAAUCUGAAAAUCUUUAGUCCCGGUCCGUGUAACGAACCGGGACUAAAGGGCCUGCCCCUGGGACGCUACGAGGCGCCCACGUGGAGCACCUUUAGACCCGGCUUGUAACAGGGCCGGGACUAAAGAUUAGGCCUUUAGUCCCGCCCCUUUAGUCCCGGUUGGUGAACCGGGACUAAAGCCAGUUCGAACCCGGUCCUGUAUGUAAGUCAAGCAAAGAAUUUAUGCUCUGGUGGUGCCUGAUUGUUCCACACAGCCGUCAUAUUGUCUUAUCACUCACUCAUUUUAUUACAACACCAAAAUUACACAAAAACAGUAGCACCAUGACACGGCGUAGAGCACACACACGCUCACAAGCUUCAGCAUAAAUCAGCACAAAACUUACUGGGAGGUAGCAUCUCUGGACUUCUAGCCAAGACAGAUUUCACGUUGUAUGGUGAUCAGAGUGUUAUCCCAAAUGGGAACAACCUCAUAGGGUAGGAAGCAUAUAUAUAUACUCCGGGCAUGAUGUCUGAUCACUCAACUCAUUUUAUUACAACAUCACAAUUAUAAAGAACCACUAGUACCAUGACAUGAUCAUAGCGCACACACACACACGCUCACACGCUUCAGCAAUCACGGCAACUAAACAAUUUCUUACAUGGCGGAGGCAUGGCCCUCGUCGCUGGCGGUCUCGAUGCCGUCGACACGGCUGUUGGGGACGGCGCAGUUGAACCGGAUCUCGCCCUGGCUGCCGGUGAGCAAGUCCAUGUUGCUCAUCUUCACCAUGGACUUGGCAAACUGCUCGAAGAACGCUCCCUGGUUGAGGGCGAAUCGCGUCGCCAUGCGCGUGGUUUCAGGGUGGACGAUGAGGCCCUGGUCCGACUUGAACAGGCCCUGCUUGGCGAUGAGAUCAAAGUAGUACUUGUUGUCGAACACGUCCGGCGUGCGCACAUCGAGCGACUGGUUGACGCUAAGCGCGGGCACGUCGUUGGCGCACUUGGCCUUGAGCUUGGCGGCGAAAUUGGGGUCGAUUGCUGGGUUGGUGUCGACUUCCGGCGUGAAGCGGUCGGAGAAGGCGGGGCAGUGGGCGAUGCCGAACGUGUGUGCGCCGGAGAGGGACACCAG